GAUGCUCCAUGUUUGCUAGAUGCAACAAAUUGAGCGGUAGACUGUUGCAGUCUUCGAGGGACAGAGCUUGAGUGAUAUUCUGCAGCUUUGGGAAUUUCAGAAAGUUUUCAACACCACGCGAACCAUGUAAGGACAAGGUGAUGAGAUUUAAAUGUUCCAAACAGUGGAUUUCCUUCAUCAAUGAUUCAGCAUCAUCGGAUAGAACGUUGCCUUCUUCCACUAUUGGCCGGUGAGCAGAACCGCAAUGCAGCAUCCUGAGUACCUGUAACUUCGAAAAGCUGGAUAUCAAUUGCUGUGGAAUUUUACACAUUUCAUAUGUACAAUCCAAGUUCAAAUAUCUCAGAUUCACCAAUGCCUUGAGCUCUUGCGGCAACCCACGUACUCCAGUAAAAGACAGAUCAAGAUGGUGUAAUGAAACCAGACUUGAAAUCCCCACAGGAAGUUGAGUCAGGGAAUCAUUCUCACUUAGAUUUAAAACUCUAAGCGAAGGUAAAGAUUGAAAGAAACUCUCAGUGAUCUCCUUAAUAUGAUUAUCCGCUAGAAGCAAAGUCUGGAGACGCGGACAAUUGGGAAUUUGUGGUAGACUUUGAAUUUUGUUCUCCGUCAAGGAUAUCCUUUUGACCCCUUCCCAUUCUUCAAUCUUUGGGGCGUCAGUUAAUCCAAUUCCUGCACGAACCAAAAAGUUAUCCUCCUCCUCCUCUACUUCAUUUGCUAUCCAUAAUGCCAUGUCACGGAUCAUAUCGUGCAUUUUUACAUCAUCACCUCCUUCCUCCAAUAAGCAUGCACGAACGAGAGCACCAAGAACCCCCCACCCGCUGCUGGAAUCCACAAAUCCUUCACUUUUCCAAUACUCUAUCAACUCGGUUUUUAGAAUUUCAGAGUCUUCGGGAAAUAAGCAACAGUACAGGAGAGAAGAUCGAAGUUCAUCUUUCGGCAAACUAUCAUAGCUGAACUUUAAGCUCGAAAGCACCUUUUUCUCCAUAUCUUCGAAUUUAGAAGCUGAUGCGCUUAGGAUCUCAAUUGCUUCUUUCCAUUCUUCAGGGUACACUUUGCUGGCCAUGGCAUUACCUACUGUUUUGAGUGCUAGCGGCAAACCAUGACACUGACGUGCCACAUCCUCGGCUAACUUCGGAAUGUCGGGAUGCUUGUUAAGAACGUAUCUCCCGACCACCCCCUCAAAUAAUUUCCAGGCAUCGUCAUCUCCCAAACAAAACACUUUGUACCGAUUCUUAUGGGCUCCCAUUUUACCACAAGUACCCUCAAAACGAGUUGUGAAGACUAUUCUGGACCCAGAAUCUAGUGUCUGAAGAGGGACGCCCAAUUUGGUUAAAUCAAUUUCGGACUCCCAUAUAUCAUCCAAUAACAAUACAAACUUCUUAUGCUUUAAGGAGUUGGUGAUGUCUGAAGCCCUUUCUUCAAAACUUUUUCCCUGCCAUGAAUCUGUUGAGAAGCCUAUCCUUUUCCCAAUAACCUCUUGAAUCUGCUUCAUGUUUGGCUCUCUAGAUACAACCGACCAGAUAACGACAUCAAAAUCAUGCUCCUCACUGCAGAACUUGUUGUUGACUUGUUUUAACAGAGUAGUUUUGCCGAUGCCCCCCAUACCAUAUAAGCCAAUAAUUCCAUUAUUCUUUUUUUGAUCAGUGAUGCAUCUCCAAACUUGGUCAAGUAUUGAUUCUUGACCAACAAUUGUUCGGUCAACAGCUAUUGCAACCGCUGCACCUUCUGGUACCCCCUCAUAAACUUCUUUCAUUGCUUCUCCUUUUUCCCUCAAUUUGAUUACUUCUUCCUUCAACUUCUCCACCUUUUUGCCGAAGUCGUAGCUUGAAAUCAAGUCCNNNNCUUUCAAUUCUUUGUAAGUUUAAAUCCUUUUGUAAAAACAUUAGAUCACACUGUUUUGAUUUAAGUAGGUUAUUUAUUCUGUUUUGAUAAACAGAACAGGCUUUAACAAUAUUCAAAUUCCUUGUUUUAGGUUUUUCAAUAAAAGGGAAAACAAGUUUUUUAUUUUUUGCUUUGAAGGAUAUAUUAUCGUAAUUGACAGUAUAAGGAGUUAUAAGAUUUAUAAAAGGAGUUCCUAAAAUGAUGGCAUGAUGUAUGUCAUUUGUAAGAACAAAAGAAGUUUUAAAUUCAAUUUUAUUAUUAUAAACCGAGGCUUCAACUUUGGAACUAACAUUCAAUUUUGAAUUGUUAGCGGCAGAAAGUCUUUCUUUUGUUUUUUCAUGAAAUCUUUUGGGGACGAUCUCUUCUCUGAUGCAAUUUAAAUCGGCGCCAGUAUCAAAAAGGGCAAUGGCGUCCAUUGCAAAAUCAUCAGAAAAGAUUAAAGUGACUUUAAUCAAAUACUUUCUUGUGGUGAUUUGUUUUAAAACAAAUAAGAAAUCAUUGGGUACAGACUCAAUGUUUUCCACUUUAAUUUCAUCACCCUCAUCAGGAUUAGAUUCAUUAUCUGAAUUAUCCUGCAAUUGUUUUUGUAAAAGAAGUUGGAUAGUCUCAGAAUCACUUUUUUGUUUUUCCUUUAAAUCACGGAUUUCACAUUUGAUUUCUUUUAUCUCUUUCUGAAGAUCUUGGAUAUUAGGAACCAUCUUUUUUGUUUUCUUUUUAUCCAAAAUUUGAGUAAGAUCAUAAGAAUUCUUUUUGAUAAUUGGAACCUUAGAAAUCUCAGCUGAGGUUCCGGCUUUGUCUGAAUCCAUAGUUUUCAAAAGUUUAUCAAGAUAAUCCUUUUAAAGAUUUGGAUCUGAAAUAUGCUGCUGUACGGCCAAGGCGGAUGUACGGUACAGCAGAUAAAAUUUUAUUUAACUCUUUACAUUUAAUUUUAUUUUAUUGAAAUUUUGAAAUAUAAAUUCACCUUCUAUAAUUUUAAAAUUUUAAAAUAACUUCUAUUUAAUAAAAAAUAUAAUAAUUAUUAAAUAAAUCAUAAUUAUAAUUAUUAUUUUAUUAUAAUCAUAAAUAUAAUUAUAUUUUUUAAAUAAAAGAUUAUAUUUAAAAAAAAUAUAUAAUCAUCUAUUUAAAAAUUAAUGAUUUGACAUAUUCACAUUAUGCGAUUAAUUGAUGAUUCCAUUAAUUGCAAUUAAUUUUCUCUUAAUCACAGAACUUUUGGUAUUUUUUUGCUUGGAUGUUCUAUUAAUGGUGCCAUGCCAAAAUGUUUAGACAACACCAAAAGUGGCAAUGGAAAUUGGUGUGAGCUUCAUUCACAAAAAUAUUGAUAUUGUUGCAUAACAAUUAAAAAGUAAGUUAUUAGGGGAGUUACUAUAAAUACACUCACUGAAACUCUUAGCAUCAUGGGGCUUUUUUUGCAACCGUUAAUUGGCUCCACGAAUUCUAUUACAUAAAAGAAAUAGUAGGGAUUUGUGACUCUAAUUGCUCCCUCAAAAUCGUUUCCUUAUGAUUUAUAAUUCACAAAAAGAAUGUAAUAAAUAAAUAAUGUCUAACUCGCAUAUACAUAUAAAUAAUGUGAAUACGUCAAAUUGUUUAAAGUUCUCCAUCAAUCUUCUCUUUAUAUUGUUAAAAAAUAUAAUUAUAUUUAUUAUUAUAAUAAAAUAAUAAUAAUAAUUAUAAUUCAUUUAAUAAUAAUUAUAUUUUUUAAUUAAAUGGAGGUUAUUUUAGAAAUUUAAAAUUAUAGGGGGCAAAUUCUGCNNNNNNNNNNNNNNNNNNNNNNNNNNNNNNNNNNNNNNNNNNNNNNNNNNNNNNNNNNNNNNNNNNNNNNNNNNNNNNNNNNNNNNNNNNNNNNNNNNNNNNNNNNNNNNNNNNNNNNNNNNNNNNNNNNNNNNNNNNNNNNNNNNNNNNNNNNNNNNNNNNNNNNNNNNNNNNNNNNNNNNNNNNNNNNNNNNNNNNNNNNNNNNNNNNNNNNNNNNNNNNNNNNNNNNNNNNNNNNNNNNNNNNNNNNNNNNNNNNNNNNNNNNNNNNNNNNNNNNNNNNNNNNNNNNNNNNNNNNNNNNNNNNNNNNNNNNNNNNNNNNNNNNNNNNNNNNNNNNNNNNNNNNNNNNNNNNNNNNNNNNNNNNNNNNNNNNNNNNNNNNNNNNNNNNNNNNNNNNNNNNNNNNNNNNNNNCAUUUUUUGUACCUCUCCCGCGCAGUCGACAUUCUGCUGUACGGCCAAGGCGGAUGUACGGUACAGCAGUCAUCAAAUAAACUAUUCUAAAUGGAGUCCAGCUACGUUGCCCUAGUGGUGUCAUACCACUUCUUUUGUCUUUUUGAGAAAUAUCUAUACAAACCCUCCAUUUAUUUUUAUUUAACAUUUGUUUCAUAAGUAUUAAACUAAUUUCCACCUACAUCUAUAGGUACAUUUUUGUUAGCACCUUAUACUGUAUCAUAUUUAUUAAUUUUUUAUCUAAUAUUCACUUAUAUCACAAUGCCUGUCUUUAACUUUUUUUUUUUAUGGACCUCUUUACUAUUUUGAAAUUGAAUAAUUAGCAUGUUUAAUUUAAAAACUUACACUCCUUUUUAAUUAUAUUUUUUUAAAAUAUUAGGUUUUUUUUACAUUCACUAUCAAAUUUCAUUUAACACUUGAUACUCUUUUUAUUUUAAGUUUUUUUAUAAAUAUUACGAUACUGUUUUCUAAGAUUCACAAUAAAUUAUGCAAUUCAAAUAGUUCCAUUACAAAAAUAUUAUAAUUUUUCAUACUUUUAUUUUUAUCAUUGUUAUUUAACCCUUUGAUUCGCUGUUGUAAAUAAUAAUUCAUCGUCUCCAAAUAGGCAUUGAAUUAAUUUUAUGUAGCAUGGACUGACAUUAUAUUAUUAAAAAAUUUUAUUCCUAUACAUGAAAGAUAAUUUUUUUUUUACUAAAUUAUAGUUUAAAACAGCCUAAUGUAAUAGAAAAUAACGCAAUAUAACUUAAUACAACAAAUAAUGACGUACCGAAUGCACCCAUAAAAUAAGAAUACUUAAAAUAAAUAACAUGAUAAAAAUAAGAGUAAUAAAAAUUAUAAUACUUUUUGAACUAUUGGGAUUACAUAAUUCGUUAUACAUGUAAGUAAAAAGUACUAUAGAUAAUAUUUAUUAAAAAAUUUAUAAUAAAAAGAGUGUAAAGUGUUACAUGAAAUUUGAUAGUAUAUUUAAAAAAUAUCCUAAUAAUUUUUUUUUUAAAAAAAGAGUGUAAGGUUCUAAAUUAAACAUGACUAUUAUUCAAUUUCAGAAUAAUAAAGAGGGGUAUUAUGAUACAGGUGUAAAAUAGAAUAAAAAUAAUAUUAAAUAUGUAAGGUGUUAAUUGAAAUGUGACUAUGGAUGUAGGUGAAAACUGGGUUAAUAGUUAUUAAAUAUCAUAUAUAGAGAAAAGGAAAAACAAAGUGACAAAGAGAUUGAGAAUGAAAGCAGAAGGGGAAAGAGGUUUUUUUUUGUUUACUUGGUGAUGGUGGGUAACACACUUCUUAAAAGUGGAGUCCAUAAAGGAGGCCAGGAGGGGGUUGGUUUUAAAACAUAUGGAGAAACUUAUGAAUGUGGGCCAAAACAUAUUCUUCAAUUGUUUGUUACAGAAAAUGUAAUAUAGGCGCUGCCUGAGAAACUUAGUGGGCCGUGUUUACUCCAGAGUAAGUGCCAUGCCAUUGUCAGAUAUUAUUUAUUUAUUUAUUUGAGGUUUAUAAAUUCUUCAUGAGAUGCGCUCAGCAUCACAUGAUCAAUUCAGGAUCACGACAAUCAAUUUAUUUAAAAGUGGAGAGAUUCGGCGAACAAGGCAUCAAAAUUUUUUAAAAUCUUUUUUAUUUGUGUUGUUUCUCUCGAGGAUGUGGAAGUGGACAAAAUAAAUGACAAAGCGUACAGUGACAAAGCAAAUCGAUUUUUCUGUGCCUCUACGGCCGCGUCUGUGUUGUAACGGUGACACUAUAGCACGUGUUUUGUUUAUUGGAUUUAAAAGUAAGUGAUCCAACGAGCAAUAGAUGGCCAUGUUUCUAUUAAAAUUAAGGACAGAAAAAACUAUAUAGUGGUUAGAAUCUAUUUAAAAGUUUAAGACAUAUUUGUGUAAGAUAAAUGCAAUCUAGACGGCGAUGAAAUACAAAAUUAUUCAUCAAUGAUUACCAUUAGUGUAAAAAUUAUAAUUUUAACGUUUGGAAGAAUUGGUAGCUGUUUCAUCGUGCCGUGAGUCUAAGCUCACAUGCACCUCUUUACACUAAAUUUAAUACUUAGCAAUUUAGUGGUUUAAUCACCUUGAAUUAAAAAAAAAAUUCAAUGAAGGAUCCCGAUUUGACUUCAUUGUAGUCAUUCAUUAUGUUGAAUCAACUAUUUUAUAAUGCAUGACAAUACUUGCAAUUUUAGACCCUCGGAUUGUAUUUGUAUUAUCAAAGGCCAUUUAAAGGUUGUGGUUGCAAGUUCACCAAGAAUAUCAUGUAAAUGCCCACAUUUGAUCAACCUAGAAUUUGCCUAUAUAGAGGCAAGAGAUUUGAUGAUUCGAUGUGUAGAAUUUUAGAGGUGAGUUUCCUAGAAAAUUUUAGAGUAAAUCUAGAGUGAAUUUUAUGGAGAAGUGUAGUUAAUAAGAAGAGAUUUCUUUUUUUUUUUUUCUCUUCUUCUUUAUUUUAAAUUUUCUUAUAUUAUAUUUUUACAAAUUUAUUAAAUAAAAUGAAUGUUUUAUUUACUAAUAUGAGUGGCUAAUUUUCUAAGCCAAGGUGAUGAGUGAAGUCAAAGUGGCUAAUUUUCUAAGCCAAAAUGACUAAUUUUCUUGUAUUAUACUUUUACAAAUUGUUUGUUUCACUAUUAACAUGGGAAUCGAGGUGGCCAAAGAUGCAGGAUGGACCCUUUGACUGUCGAAUCGGAUUAAAAAAGAGGUGGUUGAUUUGGUGCUGCGUAAGAGGAGACAGUAUGAUUGUAAUCCGGCACAGUAAUCCAGCACAUUCCAAGGGAAUGUAAUGCAAGUGCACAUGCUAUAGCCAAUAUAGCAUUAGCAUGCAGUGAUGAUUGUGUCUGGAGGGAACCUUUUCCCCCAUAAAUCAUAAAUGUAAUCACCCAAUUGGUUUAAUAAAAGCAUUUCUUCUUUUAAAAAAAUAAUUUAUUACAAAAAAUAAAAUGAAUUCCUUCAUUAAUUUCAUAAAAAAUUUAUUAUAUUACAAUUAUAUUUAAGAAUAAAUAUAAAUAGAAUUAAAUUAUUUACAUUUUCUUUCUCUUUUGAAUUUUAUUUUACUUGCACAAUAUAAAUUUUUUUGUUAUCACUAAAAUAAUUUGAAUUUAAGAAGUAAUCCUCUAAGCCAAAACAAAAUUUUUAUAAUAAAUAUAACAACUUAAUUAAGAUACAACAUAGGAAAAAAUAAAUUAAAUAAAAUUUUAUCCCUUUACAACUAAUUUUUUAAGAAUUCUCAAACUAAUUGCUAAACUCAAUGAACCCAAAAUUUAUAGGUAGGAUAAAAUUAUAUUAAACCCAUAAAAUAUUCAUUAUUUUCUAAGUAUAAAGUUUUUCUCAUUUUUUUUAGAUUUUUUUCUUUAGAAAUUAAAUAGUAAAAAAAAUGAGAAAAACUUUAUACUUAGAAAAAAAUUUAAAGAGAAGAAUAUAAAUAUUAAGACUAAAAGAGUGAGAAAACUAUUAAAAAUUAAAAAAAAUCAUAAAUAAAAAAAUAUUUAUUUAAAAAAUAAUAUUUUUAAUAUUAUAUAAAAUAUAAUUAAAAAAAGAGUUUCAAUACGAUUUUAAUUGACUCGAAUGUGACAGAGGCGCUGCCCGAGAAGAAAAUUGGUAGGCAGUGUUUUCUCUUAUGUAAUUGUCAUAUCAUUACCAGAUAUUAUUUAUUUAUUUUAUUUAAAGUUGGAAGUGGACGAAAUUUCUUAAAAUCAUUUUUAUUUGUCUUGUUUCUCUCGAGGAUUUGGAAGUGGACGAAAUGAAUGAAAAAGGGUACAGUGACUAAACAAAUAGAUUUUUUUUUGCGCCUCUACAGCCAUGUCUAUGUUGUAACUGUAACACUAUAGUGUGCGUUUUGUCUUUAUCUCAUGUAAUUAUUUGAUUUAAGAGCAGGUGAUCCAACGGGUAACAGAUGGCCACGUUUCUUUUAAAAAUAUAUUGGUGAAGUCAGUUAAGAAGAGGUAAAAAUAAGGAUAGAUAAAAUUAUAUAAUGGUUAGAAACUAUUUAAAGGUACCUCUAUGUUUACAGCAUCAAUAGUGUAAGUAAUAUUAAUUAUUCGAUUUAAUUAACAGUAUACAUUAUAUUUAUUAAUAAAAUUUAUUAAUUAUUUUUAAAAUAACAUAACCGGUUAACAAAGGGACGAACUAUUGGAUUGUGGAGUUGGUAGAAAUAUGAGAAAUUUCAAUGACCAUCCCUACAGUUUUAAAUAUUCUCACAUUUUUCACUUGAAUAACAUAUUUCAUUUAAUAACACAAAAUUCAAUAGAAUAUAUGAUUUCAAUGAAAUAUAUGAACAUGCAUACGAAACUAACAUUCAUAGGAAUGUUUCAUUAGACUUUUAAAGUUUAUCUUACCUAUGUAUCUUAAACCAUUCAUUAUCAACUUUUCGUAAUUUUAUUAAAUAGGAAUUUCAAGCAAAACAAGAAAGAGUGACAAUAUGUAAUUAAUUUGAAGAUUUAAUGUAAAACUCACAAUUGUUAAAAUAGUGCUUAAAUUAUAUCAUUAAUGUUAUAAGAUAAUUUGAUUAUCAUGUAACCAAACUAAUUUCAAAAUUUAUUUUGAAAGCAUGCAAAACUAAUUUCAAAAUCUAUUUUGAGAGCAUGCAAACGGAUGUAGUCUCUACUAUGUGAUUUUUUUAUUCUAAUUUAUGGCCAUAGAAGAGAAUUGGAAGAUCCAUAUUUGCCCAAUAGUGAAAUAUAAAUAAUAGCCCUUUAAUUUCUCAUGUGGUAUAUUUCAUAGGCUUAUUAGCUUACAAAACUAUAUGCAAGUGUUAAAAAUUGGACUACUGCAUGAAAUGUCAUGUGAUAUAUUUCAUUUGACCUUAGAUUAAUUAAAUGCCUAUAUAUGGUUUACUUCAUUAAUCUAAAAUUAAUUUUCAAUGAUAUUUAUAUGUGACAUAUCAAUUCAUAAUAUAUCAGGGUAAUUACGAUUUUAAUUUCCUUUCUAUUAGUAAAUAGGGGUAGAUAGAAGUACUCAAUAUGUGUGUGUGUGUGUGUGUGUGUGUGCGCAUAUUAAUUCAUAUGUCUUAAUGACUAAAAGAAAAAUCACCUCUACUAACUUAAACAGGUCUUAUAUGUCUUUCUAUAGUAGUGUUUGUAAAAUAUAUUUUAUUUGCUAUGCUUUGGAGGACGUGUAGUCUAUUAUUUUAUAAUUUGUUUUAUAAUUUACAAAAAAAACGUGUUUAACAUAUUUUAACUUUUAUUAUUGUCAAAUAGAUUAUGUUUAAUACAUUUUAUAAUUUGAUUUAAGAUUUAGGCUCGCCAAACAUACAUUACACUUGUACUAUUAAAAUAAAAAUGAAAAUAAGGGCUACAAAAUGAUACUGAACAUGCCCUAAGUUACUUGAAGUGUCAGUUUAGAAAUAAGUAUUAUCGUAGGCUUAAAUUUAUGGAACAACUUUUCAGGACUGUUGGUCUUCCUCUAUUAGCUUAUUUAAGGUCUAUAUUUCCAUUGUUUUUGAAUGGAUGCAAGAUGAUGAUGAUGAAGAAAUUGUGCUACUCGUAAUGAUGCACCUUCGUAUUUAAUAAGAAUCAUAUGCAUAUUCAACAGUGAAAAUAUGAUAAUUCUGUCGUAAUUUGAUCAUAUUACAAUACAAUUGACUACUAAAAAAUGUCUUUAUAUUUUUUAUUACAUUUUACAUUAAAGUUGUGGCACAUUAUAAAUGCAAAGCUUAAUGUUUAAUAGCAUAACACUUCAAUAAAAUCAACGUCUUAAGUAUGAUGUAUGAUAUAGAACAUUGAAAUAGUUAUAUCUAACACUCACAACAAUUUAUAAUAAUUUAUAGUGUUUUAUUUACAAUAUCUUUUCUAAUUAUAUCUGUAUUAAUAUCUAUCUUAAAGUCAAUUUUUGGAUUAGUAGAUUUUAAUAAAUCCAUCGGGAUAGAUUAAUAAUAACUUAAUAUUAAAAAAAUUCAUUAUACAAGUUAUUUUAUUAAUUAUACUUAUUUUAAUAUUUUAUUUGUAUCAUAUGAUAUUUAUUAUUAUUUUUAUCCUACUACUAUAUGUAUAUUUAUUUAGGUUGUUUAAAUCAAAACGUAUAAUAGUCAUUUAUGAAAAUUAAGGGGUCUUUAUUACCAUUUACGAAACUAAGUGGAUCUAUAUGACUAUUUGAGCAAACUUUGAGGUGUGUGUGGCUUUUUCUCAAAUUAAUAUUAAUUUAAAAUUAAAAAACAAAUAAUUACCAGCAACUUGUAAAUUACAUGCUACAUUUUCAUUAAUUAUUUAAUUAUCCAUUAUAUUAGAUGGACGAUUGAGAUUAAAAUACUUAAAACUAAUGGUUCACAUUAAUCCCACUAUCAACGCUGUAAAAAUACAUACAUAAUCAUAAAGAAAUCCACUAUUUAAAGGUUUUAAACAAAUUUGUGUAAGAUAAAAGCAAUCUAGACAGUGAUGAAAUAAAAAAUUGUUCAUCAAUGAUUAAUAUUAGAAAGUAUAUAUUAAUUAAAUAAAAGUAAAAAUUAUAAUUUUAACUUUUGGAAGAAUAGGUAGUCGUUUUAUUUAAUAUUAAUUCUGAAAGGCUAGGUAUCAUGCCUUGUGUCUAAGCUUACAUGCACCUCUUUACACUAGAUCUAAUACUUAUCAAUUUAGUGGUUCAACCACUUUGAAUUAAAAAACAAAAAAUCCAAUGGAGGAUCCUUCGUGUUAAAUUUUACAAGCUCUGGAGAAAAUUAUGAAUGUCAGCCGAAACAUAUUCUUGAAUUGUUUGUUACAGAAAAUGUAAUAUAGGCGCUGCCUGAGAAACUUAGUGGGCCGGUGUUUACUCCAAGAGUAAGUGUCAUGCCAUUGCCAUAUAUUAUUUAUUUAUUUAUUUGAGGUUCAUAAAUUCUUUAUGAGAUGCGCUCGGCAUCACAUGAUCAAUUCAGGAUCACGACAAUCACUUUAUUCAAAAGUGGAGAGAUUCGGCGAACAAAGCAUCAAAUUUUCUUAAAAUCUUUUUUAUUUGUGUUGUUUCUCUCGAGGAUGUGGAAGUGGACAAAAAAAAUGAAAAAGCGUACAGAGACAAAGCAAAUCAAUUUUUCUGUUAAUAAGAAGAGAUUUUUACGAAGAAGUGUAGUUAAUAAGAACAGAUUUUUUUUGUGAAGAAGUGUAGUUAAUAAGAAGAGAUUUUUUUCUCUUCUUUAUUUUAAAUUUUCUUGUAUUAUACUUUUACAAAUUUAUUAAAUAAAAUGAGUGUUUUGUUUACUAAUAUGAGUGACUAAUUUUUUAAGCUAAGGUGAUGGGUAAGUUCAAGGAUUCAAAUUGUGGAUUUAAUUACUUUCUCAUGUCAAUUUUAAGUUUAUUGUUUGUAAUUUAUAUUUUCUACCGAUUAUUUUCAUUCCAUAUUUUAUAUUUAUUUACAGAUCUAAAUUUCCUUGGAUGUAUAUAAAUGUUUAGACAAAACAUUGACACGAGAAUAUGGUAGUGGAAACAUUCCAAUAUGGCCGUGGCAAUUAUGUACUUCAUCCCCUUGUUUAUUCAUGGAGUGGUUAAUUUAUGUGGGAGUUUAGACCUAAUGUUGACUACUAAUAUGGUUGUGGGAACACUCCAAUAAAGUUGUGGCAUAAUAUAUACUUAAUUCUCAUUUUUAUUCAUUGAGUGGUUAAUUAAGAACUAAGUCACAUAAUAUUGAAACAAGUAUAUAUAUAUAAAUGUUAUGGCCAUGAUUUAAAUAUCAAGCAUGGAUAUCAUAACCUUAGCGGUUUUUAAAUUUAUACUAUUCCUUAUCAACUUUUUUUUUGCAAUUAUUUUAUGUAAUUAUUGACUGCCAGAUUUAUACUUUUAGAGUAAUUAACCACUUUAAUUUGAGUCGUACGAAUCACUAUCAAUUUAUAAUUAUGGAAGAAUAAAACCGAAAUUCGAAGAAUUAGAACUAUUGGAAAACGAAGCGUUAAAUAGUGAUUAAGGUAUGAAAAAAUGAAACUUCUACAAGCAAAGUAACACUGUCGAUGAAUAAUGUAAUUAAGUAGAUAUGUUUGAAAUAGGAAAGCUUAUACAAGUUUACCAAUAAUGUAAUUAACUCUGAUAAAACUAUUGUUUGCGAUAAUUGAAUAAAUCAUAUUUGUUUGUAAAGGAUUAUUAGAUUUCAGUGUUAUUUGCAUUUAUAUAAACUAUUUGCAUUAAAGUUUGGUGUGUGCGUAUAAUGUGUUAUUAAUAGAUUCUUGAUAAGCACAGAAUUAGUUUCGAACUUUGAUAAGCACAAGAUAAUUUUGCUUCAUUUAACGUAAUGGUGUAUAUAGCCCAAUGUUGUUCCCGUCUGCUUAACUUCCCAACAAAAACAUGUGUAUGCAUUUAUGUGGCCAAUGAUUUUCUUGACAUUUGAAGAAAUAUUAACCUCACAAAAGUUGUCUAUAUUGAGUGAGAAAAAUUUAUUCUAAGGUCGAUCACAAGCAUGUUGGGUCAAGUGUCUCUGAACAGUUUGUUUCGUUUGAGAUGAGUGGCUAUCUAAAAAUGAUUAAUGUAAUAAAAUUUCUAGUAAUUCAUAGUUAGUGUAUAUAAUAGAUACACUGGUUGAAACAUAGUCGCCACACUUUUGCAUAACAAAAGUGCAAUACAUUACUUAUUUAACAGUCAUAGAGGAAAGAAUCACAAUAAAGCACCAUCCAAAGAGAAACUAAUACAUGUAUAAUUAAACAUUACAAUGAUAUCUUAUUGGUUUCUGGGCAAAUUGUUGAUGUCCCAGUCCUUUAUCUGAUCCAAGUGGUUAUCACAGGCCUGCACACAGACGAAUUGUCAAUAUUACGUUUAGCAGUAAUAUUUAGUAGAUAGCAGAAGCAGCUUACUGAUAGUAUCAUCGCUGGUAGUUGAUGUCAUCCUGAAGAAGUCAUCCUCUUCAGAACAGUUGCCAAAGUUAGUUAAUUGUGUCCACUAUAAUCAGGAAUAAGUUAGUAUAAGUUUUGUGAAAUACCGAAUUGAACUUGAUAAGCCUAAUGCCAAAGUUAGUUAAUUGUUUCCAAGCACUGUCUUUGGCUAAUUUCAUCAUGCCUGGUGCAUAUGUUGACAUAUAAUUUUCUGCGGACAUCAUAGUCUUUAAUGUUUUAACUAAUGUAUUGUGUUGCCCUACAAGCAUAAGGACAUAGAAUUCCAGAGAUCUACCACAUUCCACAAUUGCAUGUCGUCAUUUGUUACAUGUUUAACUCAUAGCAUGAUGAAAUGCUAUUAGUGACUUUGACAAGAUAUUAAAAUUAAGAAAUUAACAAGUUAACAGUAUUGUCCGGUAUCACAUAAUUCAUACCAAAUAUUCAGAAUUGCAACAAAAAAUGAGCUCAAACAUACGACAAGAUAAAAUUGCAUAGAUUGCUUAGCCAUACUGUUAUCAAACAUAUUAAAACUAAAGAGAAAAAAAUGAAAAAUCACUGAUGGUAUUAAAUGAGAUUGUCCUUAUGCAGAAUAUUCAAAAUAAAAGUUCUUUUGAGAUCAAGAUUCUGUGCGAAAAAGAGUAACAAAACGAAGCUAUUAACACCGAAUAACAUCAUUGCAGAGCAAAUAUAAAAAAUUAUUUCUUAUUCAUGCUAAGUGAUUAAAGAUUAAGAUCAAAACAAGUAAACAUAUUAUAUUCUACUCUUGAAUUGGCUAAAGUCUACUACCUUACAUGCCUCAAGAAUUUAAUACUCGGGUUAACUACCAAAACAAAGGGGAUAGUGCAAACCUGCAACUUUGGCACUAUAGUAGCUCCUCCAAUGAACUCCACGGCAUAUAUCUCGUCCAUUUUCAACCCCGAAUGCUUAAUUUCAUAGAGCUCUUCGAACUUUUGACAGGUAAUGUUGCUCCUAAAAGACAAAACAAACCCCAGAUAUGCAUGUGAAUGCAUUUGGGUUUACUAUCCGUGUGCAACAAAACAAAAUUUUCACCAAAACUGAUAAAUAAAUUUUAUAUAUACCAGCAACGUGAAUCAACAUAAAAGGAGAAUAAGCCAAUAUAAUUGAUUAGAGUAUAUAUAUAUAGAAUAGUUUACCAAAUGAAAGUACCACUAGUAAAUUUGAAAAAAGAAAAAAAGGAAAAAGAAAUCUCAUGCAAGAAUUGGAAUCCAAAAUGUAAUGGCCCAGUCAGUCUGGAGUCAUUUUAUUAACUUUAUUUUUCAUCAGAAGAUGUCUUAUAUUAUAUUAAAGAACAAAGCACUUGUAAGAGAAUAUGCAUCCCUCACACAAUAAACUCUACUUGCCAUGUUCUACAGUUCCUCACUCAUUUAAAGAACACAUUAAUUUUGAUAAUAAACUUAAAACACACCUCAAACAGUAAAAUCUGAACUUGAACUCCACCUAUCUGAAGUCCCUAUCAUCGUGGAGAGAUUUAACUGAUAUUGGUUCCAUUGUGUUCACACAAAGAAUUGCUUUUGUAUAUUUAACUUGCUUCUUCAGUUCAGCCAUGGCCUUGGGAGACUUCCUCACUUCACCCAAUUACCAACUUGUUUAUUAAACUCAUCUGUAAAGUAUUCAACCAACCGUAAUUCCAUGUUCUGACUGCUAAGCUCUGCGUCCCAUCUAAUAUCCUUAACCUGCAAAUUUGUCAAAUAUCAACUAGUAUCUAAAAGUAAUUAGAUAUGCAGGAACAUAACAAGCGGCACAUAAAGGUUGAACAGAGCACGGAUGAAGUGAGAAAAAAAUAAUGCUAUGGGAAUAAAGACCACUCAACUCUUACUGCAUCCUUAUAUUUCCAAAUUAUUUAGUCAGGGAGUACAAAUACUUACAAAUAGCUUAUGAAUCCCUAAAGCUAUCAGAUUCUAUUGUUCUAACUAUGUUACCAUCGGCUUCUAAAGCUUGAUUGCAGCUCUUUAAAUCGCUAGCUUUCUGUUUGUGAGCCCCCGCCUCAUUGCUAUAAUGAAAUUACCGAACCAUUGUUACCAAUCUCACUUUCUCUGAUUCUCAUAAACAAACACAGUGUUCUUGCAAGCUAAUUACGAGUUUUAAAUCUUUUCAAAAUAAAAAAAAUUGCGAGUUUUAAUAAGGAAUUACCUACUGCAUCGGGUGAUUCGAUCGGCACAAGACCAAAUCAAAGUGACGCGAGAUCCACGCUAAUUUGAUAUAUGCCUACACUUUUAGCACCGUAACUUUCGAUUGCAUCUGCUGUGACGAUUAUAAUUUCACCGUCAAUUCCCUACAAGUGAGAUGCCAUAUUCAUGUAUGAAUCAUCGGGAAAUUUUAAUUCCCAAAAAAAAUGCGAUCCUCUAAUUCUAAUUUUAUGUCUUAAUUGCUGUCUCCAGAUCAAUUUUAAGAUGAAAUCAGUGAGAAAACCUGUGGCGAAACUGUGGUACCGUGUUAUAGUUACAUUCAGUCGAUGAACGUCAGUAAAUCCUAUUAAUUUAAGUGCAUCCAACGGCUGGAUGCAACUGUAGCACGAUACUACAGUUGCACCAUAACCUGAUCAAAAUCAGUGAAACUCUAAUCAGCACUAGAAAUUUUUGAAACCAACGCUCGCUGAACUGCUAUUAAAUUAAUAUACAACCGGCUGCAACGGUUGCUAGUCGCUACAUCAAUUAUCUAAUAAUUAAUUUCAACCGCUAGAUUGAACGAGAAGCACCCAACAACUUUGCUUAAUUUGCAUCAAUUAUCCAAUAAUACGGAAAAAAAGAGGCAACAUAAUUGGACCCUACAUAUGUGGCGCAAAAUAUUUAUUUUUCAAGAGUUCAAGUAAGUGUAUGUUCAGUCAAAUAUAUUUAUUUAAUCUUAUAACUUUUUUUUAAAAAACUUAAUAUUAUUUAAUUAUAAUUUGAGUAAAUUUUUUUUAAAAUUAAAUAAGUUAUUUUAUCUAUACUAAUAAAAGUUUAAAUUUUAAAUUUUGUGGAGUAGAGGUUAAAAUUUUUUUUAAAUAUUAUAUUGUCUAAAAUAUGCUUUAUAUAUUUCAUAACAUAACUUUAAGAAAUUUUUCUAUUAAAGUAAUUCUUUAAAUUUUAAUAAAAAAUCUCAUUGACAACCAAACAAUUAUUUUUUUGGUAAAAGUUCUACUUACAAAGUUAUACCAAACAGAAUCAAAGAAAGUUAAGGAUUGAUGCUCUAAAUAAUGGUGAGGAUAUUGGUAAAAUAUGUAAUAAAAGUAAUUUUUUUUUUCUAAAAUGCUCAGGUUCUGAUUGAGAUUGGACAAUUAUAGCUUUUUAUAUUUGGUAAACAUUACUUGCUAUGACUUGAAAGCUAAAUUAAUUUGAUCCACCACUUUUAUUUUGAAAAACUUAUAAUUCUUUACUAUUGUUUUCAAAUUAUUAUUUACAAGUCAUAUUACUAUAUAUUAUUAAUUUUUAUUUCGUAAUUACAAUAUUUUUUCGCAACAACUACAUUAUCUAAAUACCAAAUAGGGCCUUAGUGACAAUAGAUUGGAUGUACUUCGGCAUAAAUUUCGGCACUUGUCUCAAUAAAUUUAUGAAAUAUAUUGUAAACAUACGUAGAUAGACAUAAGAUAAUAAUAGUUCUAGUAUCAUUAUAAAAAAUGAGUAUACAAAAUGGGCAGCGAUGCAGUACUUGCAUUCUAAAAUUUAUUUUGAACACUCAAUUAAUAAUUUUAAAAUAUUAAUUUUUAUUUGGAAUAUUUUUCGACUUCCUUUAUUGUUCUCAUUACCCAUUUCUUUAAUUACCUUAUUUCCUCUUUACAUCCAAUAAAAUAUUCAUAAUCACAAACAAAAUGUUUGAACCUUUUUUCAUUUUUUAUCAACUUUUAUUUUGCUUUUAUAAUAUGGUUUGACAUAUGUUUGUUCUUCUCUUUAAUGUCGCAAUUCAAUUUUGUUUUUCAAAUCCAUGAAAGCAUGCAGAUUAGAUUGAGUGAAGAUCAGAAAACAAAUUUAAAACAAAUUUUAUCCUUUGAUUUCUUUCGUUUUUCAUAUGUUGUAGUGGUGCAAUUUAUUGUUCUUCCUCCACCUAUGUUUUUAAUUCCUUUUGUUACAAAAGAUGGAACGUGUUACAUGAUGUUUUCCUAGCAAUUCUAUUAACAAAAAAACUGAAAAAAAAAAGGUUUAGUCCAUAAGUAUAGACAACGUUUUCACGUGAACUUUUAUUCAUUUCUUCAUUGUUUAUCUAGUUUAUUGUAGAUAAAAUAAGAUGUUGGAUAAAAAUUUAUUGAACUAUAUUUUAUUAAAUUGUCCUUAAUAGUAAAUUACAUUAAGGUUAAUUUAGUGAUAUAAAGAACUAUUAAAAUGUGAGUGUCUGUUAUAGUCUUACAGACACAAAUUAUUGCAACAGGAAAUCAAACGAAAUAAAAAGAACAAGUGAUAAAUGGGUAAAUUCAAGGAAACUAAGCUUUAAUAAAUAUGUUUUUGGUAGUUUGAGGGACAUAUCUCCCAAUACAACUAUUCAGUCUCCAAACAAAAUAUUUUAGCCUGCUAUUAUUGACAUUGAUGCUGGUUUAAAUACUAUCUUACAGAAGUUGGACCUAAAGAUUAAAAGCACAAUAAAACCUAUGUUCAUUAGAAUUAUGUUAAUACAACAACUACUUUUAUUUAAUCAAAAUGAACUAUGAUAACAACUCAAAGAGAUAAACAUAACCUAAGAAUAAAAUUAUGUAAUUUUUUUUAAAGAUCACAUCAAUGUCCAAAAUAAAUUUUAGAGAGCCAAUAGCCCUACCCUAUCUUCAAUUUCUUCUUCUUUACAUUUUUGUCUCAUUGCCUUUCACGAAAGAAUUCUAAAGAAAGUGUUGUUUGGCAAGAAAAUAAAAGAAAAAUAAAGAGAAUUUGUAUAGAAGCAAAUAUAAGAUUCCUUUGUAAUUAACUAACUGAAAACUGAGUACACAUUACAUAUUUAUAUAGCAAGCUAAAUGAUUCAUACAAUCUAUUAUACACACGCGAAAUUUGAUACAUGUGAGGUGAGCUGUAUAACUAACUUGCCAAGUUAGCUUAAUGAGUGAAUCAGUUGUGGUCAAUCAUAUAAUGAUUUUGUGCUAUGCUUUGCUUGUAAUUCAAUAUCACUAACAUCCCCCCUCAAGUUGAAAUGUCCAGGAUAGACAUUCAGCUUGCUUCGCAAACAAUGAAACUGCUUAAAAGUGAGAGCUUUGGUUAAUACAUCAAUUGGUUGACCUUCACUGGGCACAUAACUAACCUCAAUGCUCUUAGCUGCAACUUUGUCUCGAAUGAAGUGUAUAUCUAGCUCAACAUGUUUGGUUUUGGCAUAAUAAACUAGAUUGUAUGCUAAGGCAAUAGCUUCUUGAUUAUCACACCAUAUUAUGGGAGUGGUGCUACGUUUAAUUUGCAACUCACUAAGAAGAGAUUGUAUCCACAUGACCUCUGAAGUAGCAUGAGCUAAUGCUCUAUAUUCUGCUUCUAUACUUGACCUUGAUACCACUGCAUAGCUCCAUUUGUGUGAUAAUGCAGUCCAAGAUGUAAAGUUCUUUUUAAGUACCUUAGCAACCUUUUGCAAGCCUCCCAAUGUUGUGUUCGAGGACUAAAUAAAAACUAACUUAGUUUAUUAACUAAAUAUGUUAUGUCAAGCCUUGUAAGAGUAACAUAUUGCAAUGCACCUAAGAUACUUCUGCACUGAGACACAUUUGCAAUAAUGUCACCUGAGUCUUUUGUGAGGUAGUGACUGGUAGACAUAGGAAUAUGUAAUGGACUGCAGUGAACUAUAUCAUGUUUGCCAAUAUAUUAGCAAUAUAUUUUGCUUGAGAUAGAUAAAUGCCAUUUGCUAAUUUAACCACUUCAAUUCUUAGAGAAUAGUUAAGAGCUCCCAAGUCUUUUAAAGCAAAGGUGUGAUGCAUGUCUUGAAUGACUGGCUGAAUUAAGUAAGAAUUGGAACCAAUGAGUAUGAUAUCAUCAACAUAAACCAGAACUAGAAUUACAUGACCAUUGAUCCAUUUAUAGAAGAGAGACUUAUCUGAUUUUGAGUGUUGAAAAUGCCAUUGAGUAAUCAUUGCAUCUUUGAAUUUUUCAAACCAAGCCUGGGAGCUUGCUUCAAGCCAUAUAUAGUCCUUUUUAAUUUGCAGAUGUGUUGGGGUUUAGUAGGAUCCACAAACCCCUCAGGUUGUGCCAUGUAAACUUCUUCAACUGAAAUGCCAUUAAGGAAGGCAUUAUUAACAUCCACUUGUCUGAUUAUUCAUUUGUUAAGUACUAAUAGGGGAAGGCAUUAUUAACAUCCACUUGUUUGAUUAUUCACUUGUUAAGUACCGCUAGGCUAAGAAUAACUUUGACUGUUGAAGCCUUAACUACUGGACUAAAAGUUUCAGUGUAAUCAACUCUUUGUGUCUGAUGAAACCCCUUAGCAACUAUAUAUAAAUCCCGUUGAAUAAACACUCUAUAAAAUUGUAAAUGUCUCAUAUAUUUUUUCCCCGUUUCUUCUUCCCGUCUCUCACUCUCUCUGUAUGAUGAGUCUGAUGGUGGCUUCAAUUGUCGAUAAAUGUUGCUAAUGAAGAGAAAAUGAUAUUAGAGAGGGAUGGAUUCAAAGGGAAUUUAUUUUUAUUUUUUUAAUUCUUUUAUCAUGAAAGUAUUAAUUAUUAUAAUAUGAUACUAUAAAGAAGAGAGGAAAGCAUUUUUAGUAUUAAUUUAAGGAUAUUUUUAUCUUUUUAUUAAUAUUUGUGUGUUAUGAUGAUUAAUAUGUCGUGGUUGUAAAUAGAAACUCUUUUAAUACUUAGAAAAAAAUAGUAAAUGAAAAAGAUUGUGAGGAGAUAAAUUGAAUUUUGAUAGUGUAGGUAAGUAGAAAUUUUCAUAGUUCUUAUAAAUAAAAUAGAGUAUAAGGGGCUGAACAACAUUUUACAGUAACUGAGUCAGCAAAGACAAAAGCUUUUGUAACGUACAAGUGGCAACGGAGCCAAAUGAAUGACCAAAAACGCUUUUUUAUUUGAUAAAAUUGAUUAUUAUCUAGAAAUAAUAUGUUAACUAGUUGGGGACGAAGCUACGGUGCCCCGGGUGCACGGUACCCUUGUUUUUGGUAAAUUACUUUGCAGUCCCUCUUAUUUACUAAAAAGUGAAAAAAUUAAAAGUUUUGAAAUUUUAAUAUAUAAGUCCAAAAUAUUUCUAUUAUUUACACUUAAGAGUAUAUUUCUAUUAUUUAUAUUUGAAUACUAAACCAUAAUUGAUUAUUAUGAAAUUUUUAACAUUUUCAUUUGGUAAUAUUAUUAUUGAUAAAUUAAAAUUUAAUUACAUAUUUAAAUUAUUUAUUAUUGAUUAAAUAAAUUUUAUAUUGUUUCUAAAAAUUGUUUAAUAUUAUUGAUAAAUUAAUAUAUUUUAUUAUAUAUUUAAAUUAUUUAUUACAGAUUAAAUUAAUAUUAUAUUAUUUUCAAAAAAUAAAAAAGAUUUUAUGUAUUAAUUUUUUUUUCAAGUUAUUGGCCUUAUACUGUCAUUAAUUUUAAUAGUAAAUUAGAUCACUUGAUCAAAAUAUUAAAUUUAAAAAUUAUCCAAAAUUAUUUGUCAAACUUUUGAUUAUUUUGCUUUUUUGAAAAACAAUAGAGAUGUCAAAUGUUAAAAACCAAAUAGAAUACAUCCAUGCCGUUGAAGCAAGUGUUGUGUUAGAUCUAAUGGGCAACUCAUAUAUGGACAAAAUAUGGGGUACCAUGCACAAAGUGAACGGUAGUUGGACCCUUCUUUUAAAUCACACUACUUCAUAGACCAAAGAAUCAAUAGUAGGACUUUUGUCGAUCAAAAAAUCUACUUCUAAAAUAUGAUGAUUUUAAACUUUUAAUUAAAACUAUUUUAUUUGGUUAGAGUUUAUGAAAAGAAGGAAUCAAAAAUAGAGGAUAGAGUUCAUGGGUGCUAAACUGCUAAUUAAGAAUAAAGAAAGAACAUAAAUGAAAUUCAGUUAUCAUGCACAAAGAAGAUAAUAGUAUCAAAAUAAAAAAAAUAUUUAAUUAAAUAUACCUUACGAAUUACGCAACUUGUUCAUUAAUAAUAUUAUUAGAAACAUUUAAUUUAGGCAUAUGCAUGUUCGUUAUGGUCAUAUAUUAUUAUUGUUAACAAAUUAAUAUUUUUUUAUCAUGUAUUAUUUUUUAAUUGACAUAUUCAAAUAAUUAUUGUAUAUUAAAUAGAUAUUAUGUUAACAAAAUAUUUAUUAAGGCGUGUUAAUUUUUCGUGCAUUUUAAAAUUUUUACAUGAGAUUACAUUAUUGUCCAUACAUUAUACUCAUGCUAAUAGUCAAACUAGGUCAAUAGAUUUAAUUGUAAAAAAAUUUGAAACAAUCUGGACAUAUAUGUCAACAUUUAGAAACUUUUACCUUUUUUAAUUUUUCAAAAAACAUUAGGGAUGACAGUGUUAAUAACCAUGCAAACCCAUCUGCACGGCCAUGCAACUCUUUGGUUAGAUUUAAUCAUUAAAUCACUAAAUGACAAAAUAGGGGUACCAAACACCAGUUGCAAAGUAGCAGGACCCACUAGUUGGAUACACUUUUUAGAAUAUAUUUUAAUUUGCAUAUAAUAUAAAAGAUCUGAAUGUUGAAUAAGAAUGGACUAUAGCCUAUAGGUAGUAGCAGAGCCACUAGGAAAGUAAAAGAAAUAAUAAAAAUAUCUCUUUCCUUUUUCGUUAAACUUUAUUGGGAUAAUUAUUUGUACUAAAUUCUUGUGUUUUGAAGAUGGGUUGGUUCUUUAGCGAAAGAUGAUCAUUAUGGUCUGCUUAAUAAAUUAUCAUUGGGAGAAGUUAAUUCUAGUACUUAAUAAGAAGCAAUUAAAAUUCUUUGAUGUUCUAAUUUUUUCUUGAGUUAAAUUUAAGUGAUUGGUGUUUGAUAAAUUAAAAAAUAAAAUAAUUAAAUCAUAAUCAUAUUAUUACUAUUACUAUUACUAAAGAAGAGGUGGUAUAAGAUUUUUAAAAGUUCAAGAGAGUUUAGAUCACAAAGGAUCUUAAUUUGAUAAAAAAUUGUAUGAAAUAAAAGUGUAUUAAAUAAAAGAAUUUUGAUGCAGAAAGUAAAGAUAAUACCAGCACGCUAUAAGUAUAAUGACAUUUUGAGAUGAUUAGUUUGACAACCUUGGAAUUAUGAUGUUGAUGUUAUCAGAAUUUUGAUGCUGGAGAUAAAAUAUGAUGAUGCUAGCCAAGCUUUAAUGUUACUCAUGCUGGAGACAAACUUAUUAUAAUUUACACGAAAUUCAGAUGUCAGUUUUGUUAAUCUUUAAUUUUAUUUAAUAUAAUUUUGAAUGCUAUUUUAUGAAACAAAAAUAAAAAUUGUUACUUCUUAAAAACCAAAAGUAUUUUAACACAUUGUUUAUGAAAAAAUGAACAAUACUCCUUUUUAUUUGAUAAAAUUGAUUAUGUUUUCCAUAUUUUUUAAUCUCUAAAUAUACCCAGAAAUAAAACGUUAAACAAUUAGAAACACUUUUUUAGAAUAUAAUCCAAUUUGUACAUAAUAUAAAAGAUGUGAAAGUUGAAAUGAGAAUGGACUAUAAGUAGUAGCAGACCCACGAAGUGAUACACUGCCCCGACUUGAUCCAAAAGUUUCUGAUAACAUAUUUUAUUUAGUUGGUGGAAAUUAUAAAUUUGUCCUGUUGGAUUAAUUGAAUACAUAGAUUUGAGUUCAAAUUUUAUUUUAAAAUCACAUAUAAAUCUCAUUCAUUUGCAAUUUAUUAUUCCAGUUGUUUAAUUAGAUGUCCAAAAUCCAAUUGAAUCUAUUAAAAUAAGGUCGGUGAUCUAAUUUGAAAUUUAAUCUGAUUUAGUCCAAAUCUGCAACUUAACAUUAGAAAUAUGAAAAUUAAAUCUAUUAUUAAGAAGAAAAAUAAAAAUAUCUACAACCAUAAAAAUAUCCUCUUAAAACUGUAUUUUCUGAAGACAUGUAAGUUGAUAUACUAAUAAAAUUAUAAAAGUAAUGAAGUAAGAGCGUGAACUCUUUUCUUUGAUUAUUUAUAAAUUUUACUCUAUUAAUAUGAUUUUCUAGCUACAACAAUGAGUCUACAAUAUUGGAUUUCAAUAAACAUAAUAAGAUCCGUAAUUAAGGUCAGGAGAAUUCUGUGUGCUUUUAAAUCACAUGGAGAAAAGUGUAAAUUCUGUGUGCUUUAAAUCCGUAAUCGUUGUCUUAAUUUUUUUUUUUUUGAAACCCUGAUAUUCAUCAUAAUUCCUGCAAGAACAUUAGGACCUUAUGCCUAAUUAUAAUCAUUUUUUUUUGGAACACCAGGUUCUUGCAGGAAGCUAGGGGGCCUUCUAAGAGAAGCAAUCAUGUUCAGGUUUUCUUAUGAAAAAGCUUCGAGAAAAGUUGUUUAUAUGAAUUUUUGUGCUUUGUGCUUUCUUGUCUGUUAGAAAAGAUUUAAGGAAAAUUAUUCAUUACUGUAAAGCCAUGCAUAUAAAAAAUAAUCUCUGAUUAGAAGUAAAAUUAUCUCUGAUGAAGAAAUGUGAUUUCUGGGUGAAGUACAGUUGGGCCACAUAGAAGGAAUAAUGUAGUAGUACAAGCUGAGAUUUUAGAAUCGCUUCGAAUUUAGUGGGAGUUGGCCAGUAGAAUAUUUGCGUUUCUGUAGCUUGUAACUACUUUUUGCCUUCUUUUUCUGUAGGAUCUUGUUGCCUCUGCUGUUUAAAAUACACUUUAUGAUUUUAAUCCUGUUUCAAUACUGAAAAUUUGUUGUAAAUAUAGAAAUCCCAUUGAAAAAUUUAUUGGAGCAGCAAUUUCAGCACUGCAAAUUAAUUUUGACAGCAUCAAAUAUCAAGCAUGCGACCUCCAAUCUUUAUUUUGCUACUUUAUUUCAUUUCAAGUUUUAAUUUUAUUCAGGGGCCUAAGCAAAUUAUAAUAGAUUUUAAAACAUCCCAUGUUGCUUCUAUGUUACUUUAUGCCCCUAAAGUUUAGAUGGUGUUACCAUGUUAUCAUGUUUGUCACUCAAAUUUCCAUGAUCUAAGCUUGAGGAGAAGAAUAUUGAUGAUAAGGGAUAAGAAUGUGCGAAACGUCAGCUACUUCACACAAUGAUUUUGUGGUUUAGAAUCUAAUGGUGGGCAAGGCACAAUAAUGUGCACAUUGCAUUCUCUUAUGGAAUUCAGACAAGCUGGCAAAACAUUCAGCAUCAAUAUGAACAUUAUAACAUGAUCUCAUAGCCUCAUACAGCUGACAGAGAGAGAAUGAUGAGUGAUAAAGUUUGAAAUUUGCUAGUUUUGGUGGAUUGAACACGGAGUUUGUUUCAUGUGCAUUGAAAUUUAGAUAUUCAUGCAGGUUUGUUAGCUUAAUUUGGUUGGUUUUUGGUGUUUGGGAUAUUUGAUAGAAGCCUGACAGUAUCUGUAGGCGGUACACUGGGUUCUCUUAGUUGUUAUAGAAGUCUUCAAAAGACCAGAUUGAAUUUAAUCCGGUUCUGGCUAUUAUUCUCAUCUUCAUUUCUCUUACAGACUGAUGAAAGCAGGAGAUUUCAAGAAUUUAACAAGAGUUCUGGUUCAAAUGCUACUAUUUUGGAUGGUGAUUCGGUUCUUAAUCUAACGAAAUUGCCUUCCCUUCUUGGUUGGCUCCAAUCCUGUGUUAAGUAAGGAUUUACUGUCACACGAGAGGAACUCUCUUCCUUCUCUUAAUGGUAGAAGUGAUCUGUUAAAGAUGGAGCACGCCUUGAUUGCGGAGAACCUGCAGAGUUUUUUAGAGAAAUCGGGAGCUUCCUACAGUGUAAUGCCUUGUCAUAUCUAUCAUAUUCGGCAUGAUGAGGUUUCUUGUUCUGUUCAUUUCCUCCAUGUGAGUGAGUAUGUGCAAUGGAGCUAAAGCAAGCUAAGUCAAAGCCACUUGAAGCUGGGAGUCCUUUGGGGAUUCAGGUGCUCACGACAAAUGGCAUUCUAACUGCAGGGUGUGGUAAUUUCCUCCUGUGAUUCAUUUUGUAUUUAGUUCACAUUUCUUGCUUUAUAUGAUAUGGUUAUGGUGUCAUCUGGAGUAUGUUGUCAGUAGAUGCUCACGAAGUAUUUAGUUUUGAUGUUAAUAAUUUCCUUCAAAGAAAGCAGACACAGUGUAGUAUUUUAUUGUUAUUAUUUAAGCCUGAAUAAUAGUGCCUAACAUUAAGCACACGCAGAAAUUUUAUUCACACUUUUGCGCCUUAUUGCACUUUAUUAUUCAUCAGGUAGGAAACAGGGAGAGAAAGCAUUUUGAGUGGCUUGAUCCUCCCAUUGUAGCUCUUCCCACCAUUCUUUCUCCCCGUAAAUGACAAUUUUACGUCCCUUUGCGCUGCUGGAAUUGAGCGGGAGCUUCUUCAACUUUGGGCAUUCCGAUAUGUCAAUUACCUUCAGCUGUGGAAAGGGCAAGGGAACGCGGUAGAUGCGCUCCAAAUUACUUGCAUUUCUUAUUACCAGAAGUUCGAGUUCUGAGAACAAGUUAAGCUCUCCCAUCAUCUCCGAAACUUCACUCAAUUUUUCAACACUGAUUAUUUCUUCCAUGUCAUCACAAUAACAUAUUCGUAGCCACUUGAGAUUUGGAACAAAAACAAGCCACGUAAAGUCCUUCACAUUUGAGCAUUCGUAUAUUGUAACAAAGUGAAGUUUACGCAUUUUUUGUACCUCGCCUGCGCAGUCGACAUUCCAGUCUUCCAAAUUACUUUCCUCGAUGUGUAGCUUCUCAAGAUGCUCCAUGUUUGAUAGAUGCAACAAAUUGAGCGGUAGACUGUUGCAGUGUUCGAUGGACAGAGCUUGAGUGAUAUUCUGCAGCUUUGGGAAUUUCAAAAAGUUUUCAACACCACGCGUACCACGUAAGGACAAGGUGAUGAGAUUUAAUUGUUCCAAACAGUGGAUUUCCUUAAUCAAUGGUUCAGCACCAUCGGAUAGAACGUUGCCUUCUUCCACUAUUGGAAAUAUCUCAGAACCGCAACUCAGCAUCCUGAGCACCUGUAACUUUGGAAAGCUUGAUAUCAAUUGCUCUGGAAUUCUAGACAUUUUACGUGUAUACUCCAAGUUCAAAUAUCUCAGAUUCACCAAUGCCUUGAGCUCUUGCGGCAACCCACGUACUUCAGUAGAAGACAGAUCAAGAUGGUGUAAUGAAACCAAACUUGAAAUCCCUACAGGAAGUUCAGUUAGGGGAGUAUAAGACAGAUCAAGAUGGUGUAAUGAAACCAAACUUGAAAUUCCUACAGGUAGUUCAGUUAGGUAAUGAUUUCCACUUAGAUUCAAAACUCUAAGCGAAGGCAAAGAUUGAAAGAAACUGUCAGUGAUCUUCGCAAUAUGAUUUCGAUUUAGAAGCAAAGUCUGGAGACGCGGACAAGUGGGAAUUUGUGGUAGACUUUGAAUUUUGUUCUCCAUCAAGGAUAUCCUUUUGACCCCUUCCCAUUCUUCAAUCUUUGGGGCGUCAGUUAAUCCAACUCCUGCACGAAUCAAGAAGUUCUCCUCCUCCUCCUCUAUUUCAUUUGCUAUCCAUAAUGCCAUGUCACGAAUCAUAUCGUGCAUUUUUACACGAUUACCUCCUUCGUCCACUAAGCCUGCUUCCUCCAAUAAGCAUGCACGAAGGAGAGCACCAAGAACCCCCCACCCGCUGCUAGAAUCCACAAAUCCUUCACUUUUCCAAUACUCCAUCAAGUCGGUUUUUGGAAUUUCAGAGUCUUCCGGAAAUAAACAACAGUACAAGAGACAAGAACGAAGUUCGUCAUUGGGCAAACUAUCAUAGCUGAACUUCAAACGCGAAAGCACCUGUUUUUCCAUAUCUUUGAAUUUAGAAGCUGAUCUGCUUAUGAUCUCAAUGGCGUGACUCCAUUCUUGAGGGUACUCUUUGCUCGCCAUGGCAUUACCUACUGUUUUGAGUGCUAGCGGCAAACCAUGACACUGCCUUGCCAUAGCUUUGGCUAGCUCCGGAAUGUCGGGAUGCUUGUCGAGAACGUAUCUCCCAACCACCCCCUCAAAAAAUUUCCAGGCAUCGUCAUCUCCCAAACAGGACACUUCGAACCGCUCGUCAGCUCCCAUUUCACCACAAGUACCACGAAAACGAGUUGUGAAAACUAUUCUGGACCCAGAAUCUAAUCUUUGAAGAGGGACGCCCAAUUCGGUUAAAUCAAUUUUGGACUCCCAUAUAUCAUCCAAUAACAAUACAAACUUCUUAUGCUUUAAAGCGUUGGUGAUGUCUGAAGCCCUUUCUUCAAAACUUUUUCUCUGCCAUGAAUCUGUUGAGAAGCCUAUCCUUUUUCCAAUAUCCACUUGAAUCUGCUUCAAGUUUGGCUCUCUCGACACAACCGACCAGAUAACGACACCAAAAUGAUGCUGUUCAUCACUGCAGAAUUUGUUAUUGACUUGCUUUAACAGAGUAGUUUUGCCGACGCCCCCCAUACCAUAUAAGCCAAUAAUUCCCUUAUUCUGUUCUUGAUCGGUGAUGCAUCUCCAAACUCGGUCUAGUAUUGAUUCUUGACCGACAAUUGUUCGGUCAACAGCUAUUGCAACCGCUGCACCUUCUGGUACCUCCUCAUAAAGUGGAUUGAUUGCUUCUCCUCCUUUCUUCAAUUCGAUCACUUCGUUCUUCAUCUUCUCCACUCUUUUCCCGAAGCUGUAGCUUGAGAUCAAGUUCUUGGAACAGAAGCCUCCAAGGCACAAUCUGUCAAUCUCUUGAUCUCUUUCUUGUUGCAGCCUCUCAACUUCAGUUACCCUUCGAUCCACUCUUUCAAACCAGCGUUGCACCGAUCUCGUCCGUCUGGUUCGGGGUCGUUGUUCAGCAAGCUCAACCUCAUUCAGCAUAUCUUCUUUUUUCUCAAUCAACUUCUCCUUCUGAGUCUGCAAGUCAUCAAGAUUAUCUUUUAGACCCCAUAUAUACUUAGCUUCUCCACCAACGUAAGAUAAAAUUGGACGAAUUGUGUCCGCUGAUAAGAAGGUUGAGAUGACGCCACCCAUUUUUGUUGAAAGAUUUCAGAGGAAUAAAAGACGAGAAACUAACAGUAGAGUAUAACGAAAGACUUUUAUUACCUCCUCAAGUUAUAGGCAAAUACACAACAUUAAUUUUUGUUUAUAGGAUAAAACAAUUAAUUUAUUGGCUUGAGUUGAGCUACGGUACAAUGGGUCCACCAUACCCUACUUUUUGUCUUUUUUGACCCCCUAAUCUCUUCUGUAUUUACAAAUUAUUGAAGUAAUUUCUUUUUUCUCUUUCUUCAAAACCCUCACCUCUACGUCCUUUUGAAUUUUUUUAAUUAAAAAUGUAAUCAAUCAAUUACAAUCAAUAAGAGAAGCUUGGCAUUCUCAUUGAAGCUACUUUCUCAUUACCUUAAGAUUAAUUUGCUCUAUAUCAUAUAAGCAAUAAUGAAUUGAACUUUUUAUAUAAAAGAAAAUCACAUAAAUAUAUUUUUGUACCUACAAUCUAUUCAUCAUACAAUGGAAUUCAGGUAUAAAUAAAUUGAAAAUUUUUAUGUUUUAUUAUGUGUCUUCUUCUCCUCUUCUCCUCCAUGCUUCUCUACAUUUUCAACUUAAAAAAAUCUAACUGUAGCACUUUUAAUAAUUGAAUAAUUAUUAUUUUAUCAGUAAAACUCUUUUUAUUAUGUCAAUGAGUUUGUUUUCUUAGGUAAAAGAAUAUUUUAACAAAUUAUUAGAAAUGAGAGCUUUAACAAAAAUUCAAAUUUUUUUUAUUUUUUAUUAUUUUUUAUGUAUCUAUCAUAUCUGAUCUCUUGAUUAUAACUUGCAAAAGUGGAUACCAUAACACAAUUAAUUGUGCUAAGAGAAUUUGGGAAAAAAAUAUUGGCACAAAAUUUUAUAAACUUUAACUUUUUAAAAUUUUUAGCAAAUAUUAGGGAUUGAAUUGUUAAUAAACAAACAAACACAUCUUGCUCUGAAUACUACUUUUGUGUUGGAUCAGUGGCAGCACAAAAAAAAAACAAAAGGGUUGUACCCGUUGCCACAUAGCUAAAUCCUUAAUUAUUAUGAUUAUUUUGGGGGCCCAUAUUUUUUACCAAAAUGCCACCACAACAAAGUAUCUUUAUUAAUAUUGGUGGCGAGAGCAGAGCCGGUGAGGGGUUUUAAACAGUACGCGCAGGUAAGUGCAGACUCUGCGGUGUGGUAGGAUUUUUAUUAUAAAAGUUUUUAUGAAAAUAAUUUUAGUUAUUUAAUUGAUAAUAAGAGUUUUUAUUAAAAAUUAUAAAAUUAUUUUAAUAAAUAAAUUUUACAUCCGCCUUGGCCGUACAGCAGAAAAAUAAUGAAACAAUAAUAAAAAAAUAUAAAAAUAUAAAAUUAAAUAAAUAUUUAUAAUCAUCUAAUACAAAAAAAAACAAACAUUUUUUUUAAGAAACAAACAAACAUUUAAUAGUUCUUAAAAAUCAUAUAGAGAGGAAGAGCAAAACAAAGUGACAACGAGUUGGAGAAUGAACGCAGAAGGGAAAAGAGUUUUGGUUAGUUUGCUCGGUGGGCAAUAUCCUUCUUAAAAGUGGAGUCCAUAAAGAGUGCGGGUUUUAUUUAAAUUGUCUGGAGAAAAUUAUGAAUUCUGUGUGCUUUAAUUAAAUCACGUGGUAAGAAUUGUGACGGCCAAAACAUAUUUAUUUAUUUAUUUAUCUAUUUGAGGUUGAGAAAUUCUUUAUUAGUUGUGCUGAUAUGGGUUGGAAAUUAAAAUACACAUUUAUUCAUCACAUGAGCGGUCCGAGCGGAUACGUCACUAACCAAGAAUGAUUAGUUCACCAUCUCUAUUUUAUAUUAUAUUCAUUUAAUUAUUAUAAAAUUUUUAAUAUUUUUUUAAAUUUAUAUUAAUUAGCUGCUGUACGGCCAAGGCGGAUGUACGGUACAGCAGAAAGCCUGGGAGAUGUACACCUCUAUUUGAGAUUUAUUUUUUUAUUAAAUUUAAGGGCAUUUUUAUAAUUAUAAUUUUUUUAUUUUUCAAAACCUUUAUAAGAUAAAAUAGUUUUUUAAUUUAUCUAGGGGUAAAAUUACCAUUUCAUUUAAAUUAUUUAACGGUGUUAGUGCAAAAGUGACUAAUGGAUACAAAUUUAAAAAGAAAGGUGGUGAACAUAACGUAUUUGAAUGUUGUGGUAAGUUGAAUGAAUAUAAAAUAAAAUAGAGAUGGUACAAUGAUAAUUUUUCAAUUUUAAAUUGGGCAGGCCGGUAAACAAGGCAUCAAAUUCAUUAAAAUAUUUUUUGUUUGUUUUGUUACUCUCCAUGACUUGGAAGUGGACAAAACAAAUGAAAAACUAUACUGGGUGAAAACAAAUAAAUUUUUAUGUGCCUCUGUGAGGUGAAAUAAUUAUUUUUUAAAAGUUCAAGUAAGUGAAUAUUGGAUAAAAAAAUUAGAUAAUGUCAUAAUAUUUUUUUAAAAAAAUUAUAAUAUUAUUUAGGUAUAAUUUUUAAGAAAAUAAAUAAGUUAUUUUGUCUGUGUUAAUAAAAGUUUAAAUUUAAACUUUUUAGAAUAGAGAUUGGAAAGUAUCUUUAAAAUAUUAUUAAAUUGUCUAAAAUAUUCUUUACCUACUUCACAAUUUUAUUUCACUCACUUCACAAUAUAAUGUUAAGAAAUUUUUCUAUUACAGUAAUUUUUUAGUUUUUAAUAAAAAUUUUUAUUGAUAACUAAAUAACUAAUUUUUAUAGUAAAAAUUAUACUUGGGAAGUUGUGGCAAGCAGAGUCUAAGAAGGCCUAGGAUCGGUGCUAUCAAAUCUCAAUAAUGGCGAGGACACUGAUAAUACUAAUAUAGAAUAAAAGUAAAUUUUUGCUAGGCAAAUGCUACGUUACAUUUCAUGUAACAUACACACUCCACAACAACCACAUACAUAGGGGCUCCCUUUUUGCUAAUAUUAUUAAUCUUGUUUGGUAAUGAGAUUGUAUAGCUUUUUGUAUUUGGUAAAUACUAACUGCUGUGAUUUAAAAGAUAAAUUAAUUUAAUCCACCACUUUUAUUUUGAGAACCUAUAAUAUUUUUAUUAUUUUUUAAAAUAAUUAUUUAUAAGCCAUAUUUACUACAUAUUAUUAAUUUUUAUUUAAUAGUUACAGUUUUUUUUUAUAACAAUUAUGUUAUGUCAAAUACCAAAAAAGGCCUAAAUGAGAGUAGAUUGGAUAUAAUUAAAAGUAAAUUUUUGAAUUAGUCUAGGUAAAUUUAUAAAAUACAUUAUAAAUAUAUGUAUCUAAAGUCCCAAUAAACAGAAAAUAAUAAUACAUCUAUAUAGAUUGUAACAUUCCCAAAAAAAAAAGAAGGAAGAGUAUCCAGUAUCCACCACAUAUUUUUAGCUUGGGGAUACAUCAACUAGCUGCAAGACUAAGGUUAUGACUUUACACACUUAAAUGUUUAAGGUUUAUAACAAGCUGCUGCUGUUCACACAUCAAUAAAAUGAGCUCUUUAGCAUUAAAGUCUAAUUAAAAGCUUUUAAUACUUUAUAAUUUAUUUUAAGUAAUAUAAGUUUAAGUAAUAAUGCACAAACAGAUGAGCCUGUAUAUUGAAUUAAAAAAAAAAAGCACGAGAUAUUCAACAAAUGUCAAGCACGUGCUAGACUAUUGCAUUAAAUAGUUUAAUCGACAAAAGGGCUAGAAAGGGCCAUUUGUAUCUAAAAUAGGGUACUUUUGGCUAUAAAAAUAAAAGAAACGAAAAGCUAGUUAAAUUGUAAAUAGCUUCUAAAGUUUGGCUAUUUUCAUAAAUUUUCUGAUAUUUUCACCAAAUUUUCUCCACUAAUCAGUGUAAAAGUAAAUAAACAAUUUCCUAAUUUAAGAGAGAAAACUGAUGACAGUAAUGUAACGCACACUUGGCACGUGCUAUGUGUUCAAUCAACCAAGAUGGCCGGCCCCAUGUAUUAACUUGUAUAUUUUACGGUUUAAUUCCCUCAAUCACGACAUUUUACAGGUUCAUCAAAGAAAUGGGCAGGCAUUAUAUCUUCGAUUUCUUCUUCCUUAUAUUUUUGUCUCAUUGUCUUCCAAAUCCCUCUUUUCAGGUAAUUCUUUCCAUUUCUUCCAUAAUUAUUUCCUCAUUUUAUAUUAUAAAUUAUAAUGGUGAUUACUUCUCACUAUUUACCUCACUUUUUUAUAAUUCAAUUAUCACUUGACGUUUAUUUUACUGUCAAAGACAGCAUUAUUCAAUUCUAGUAAUAAAAAGUAUAAAACGUAAUAACCUAUCCCAACCGCAUUUCUUUUUGACAUUCCUUUCCUACGUAGGUGGAGUUUGAAUCUCAAAUCUCUUGUCCUGCCUUGAGAGAUUGUAUUGACUAAACUUAAUGGCAUCAUAAAUGCUUUUGAUGUAUUUCAUACUUAAAAAUAUACUUGUAUAACACAUGUUUUAUUGUUUGUUUCUGUAGGAUACCAUGUAGAAGUGGAAAAUGUACAACGCCCAUAGAGGUGACAUCCUUCCAGUUGAUUAUAAGUGAAGUCUUCCCAGAAUUUUUAUCCAAGGUUCUUCUAUACCCUGGAGCCUUUGCAAGUGCUAUAAUGAAGGGCAAAAACAUUCCUAGAUAUUUGUGCUUUGUGCUUUCUUGUCUAUUAGAAAAGAUCUAAGGAAAAUUAUUCUUUGUUGAAAAGCCCAGCAGAUCAAAAAGUAUGUUUGAUUAAAAGUAAAAGAUGCAUGAGUUGAGGCUAAUGAAGAAAUGUGGUUUCUGCCAGAAAUUCAGUUGGGGUACAUAGAAGGAAUGAUGUAGUAGUAUAAGCUGAGAUUUAAGAAUGGCUUCGAAUUUUAAUGGGGGUUAGCCAGUAGAAUAUUUGGGUUUCUGUAUGUUGUAACAAAUUUUUUUUCCUUUCUUUUCCUGUAAACCCUUUUCUGUAGGAUCUUGUUACCUCUGCUAAUUAAAUGACACAUUGUGAUUUUAUCCUGUUUCACAUAUAUGCAAGUACAAACCGGUGGUCAUAUAGGGGCAAUUAUUGGAGAUGAAUUAUUGGACGCAUACGGUGCUGGGAUGUGUGUAGACUGCGAAUUUUUUAAUUUUUUUUUCUUGCGCUUUGUCUGGUUCCUUUUUUUUUUUUUUUAAAUAAGCGGUUUGGUUGGCUUUUAGAAGAGCUCAGGAGGCAAGAAAUUGAAAUGAAAGAAAGGAAAAGAAAUAAUAAAAAUAUCUCUUUCCUUUUUCGUUAAACUUUAUUGGGAUAAUUAUUUGUACUAAAUUCUUGUGUUUUGAAGAUGGGUUGGUUCUUUAGUGUAAGAUGAUCACUAUGGUUUGCUUAAUAGAUUAUCAUUGGGAGAAGUUAAUUCUAGUACUUAAUAAGUAUCAAUUAAAAUUCUCUGAUGUUCUAAUUUUUUCUUAGGUUAAAUUUAAGUGAUUGGUGUUUGAUAAAUUAAAAAAUAAAAUAAUUAAAUCAUAAUCAUAUACUACUACUGCUAAAGAAGGGGUGGCAUAACAUUUUUAAAACUCUGAGAGAGCUUAAAUCACAAAGGAUUUUAAUAUGAUAAAAAUUGUAUAAAAUAAAAGUGUAUUAAAUAAAAGAAUUUUGAUGCUGAAAGUAAAGAUGAUGCCAGCUCGCUACAAGUAUAAUGACAUUUUGAGAUGAUUAGUUUGACAACCUUGGAAUGUUACCAGAAUUUUGAUGAUGCUAGCCACGCUAUAAUGUCAUUCAUGCUGGAGAUAAACUUAUUAUAAUUUACACGAAAUUCAGACGUCAGUUUUGUUAAUCUUUAAUUUUAUUUAAUAUAAUUUUGAAUGCUUUUUUUAUGAAACAAAAAUAAAAAUUGUUACUUCUUAAAUACCAAAAGUAUUUUAACACAUUCUUUAUGAAGAAAAUGACCAAUAUUCCUUUUUAUUUGAUAAAAUUGAUUAUGUUUCCCAUAUUUUUUAAACUCUUAAAAAUACCCAUAAAUAAAACGUUAAACAAUUAGAAAUACUUUUUAGAAUAUAAUAUAUAUAUAUAUAUAUAGAGAGAGAGAGAGAGAGAGAGUUGGGACUCAAGAGGUGAUGUGGCAUCACUAUUUCUCAUCUUCUUAUAUUCUCUAUUAUCUAAUAUAUUAGUUGAGAUUAAAAAAUAAUUACAUUACAAAAUAUUAAAAAUAGAAAAUAAAUAUUAGAUUACAAAAGAUUACAUAUCUCUUCCUCUUUCUAUUUAAAUUCAAUAAUAUGUAACCAUUAAUAAUAAUUAAUUAUAAGUCUUGAAACAUUCAUUUAUUUUAUUAUGCCAAUAAUUAAACUUUAGUGGCUUAAAAUACAUCAAUUAAUUAAUAUAGGAAGGAAUGUUCUUUCAUCUUCCCUCAACAAUGCCAUUAGAGCCUAAUUUUAAUGUCAUAAUCCUAUAUUUAAUUAUGCAACCUUUUGUUUAGUGCAUUUUCGCUUCUUCAAACUCUGUAAAUAUUAAGUAUUUAAGAUUUGUGGCAUCAUUAUUUCUCAUCUUCUUAUAUUCUCUAUUAUCUAAUAUAUUAGUUGAGAUUAAAAAAUAAUUACAUUACAAAAUAUUAAAAAUAGAAAAUAAAUAUUAGAUUACAAAAGAUUACAUAUCUCUUCCUCUUUCUAUUUAAAUUCAAUAAUAUGUAACCAUUAAUAAUAAUUAAUUAUAAGUCUUGAAACAUUCAUUUAUUUUAUUAUGCCAAUAAUUAAACUUUAGUGGCUUAAAAUACAUCAAUUAAUUAAUAUAGGAAGGAAUGUUCUUUCAUCUUCCCUCAACAAUGCCAUUAGAGCCUAAUUUUAAUGUCAUAAUCCUAUAUUUAAUUAUGCAACCUUUUGUUUAGUGCAUUUUCGCUUCUUCAAACUCUGUAAAUAUUAAGUAUUUAAGAUUUGUGGCAUCAUUAUUUCUCAUCUUUUUAUAUUCUCUAUUAUCUAAUAUACUAGGAAAUAGAAUCGCACUUCGUGCGGCUUUAAAAAAAUAAUUUAGUAUUAUCUUUUUUUAUUACUUUGCACUUGAUGAAACUGAUAAAAAAUAUUAAUUAUUUUUUUUAAGAUGACGGCCUUAUAAAACUAAUGUUAUUUAUAAAAGUUAAUUAUUUUUUUGUUAACAUUAAAAAUAUAUAUUAAUGUAUAUAGUUAAGUGUACACAACCUUUUCAUCAAUAAAAAUUAUGUUCACACUAAUCAACUCUCUAUUUUUCUUGGUAUUAACAGACUCCCACAUCUUACAAAACCUAACCCUUAUCAUCCAAUUAUCUUUAUCAUUAUUUAACUCAUGAAGAAAAGAAUACUCCAUGAAGCACACAAUACUAAAAAUUUAAAUAAGUCAAAAAAUAAAAACACAAGAACAUUUCUAAAGAGCAUGUUGGUUAAAUAAAAAAAAACCCCAAACAUAAUAAAUCUUAAAUGCUUAAUAUUUAUAGAGUUUGAAGAAGCCAAAAGACACUAAAUAAAAGGUUGCAUAAUUAAAUAUGGGAUUUUAUUUUUUAAUCUCAACCAAUAUAUUAGAUAAUAGAGAAUAUAAAAAGAUGAGAAAUAAUAAUGCCACAAAUCUUAACUAUUUAAUAUUUAUAGAGUUUGAAGAAGCCAAAAGGCAGUAAACAAAAGGUUGCAUAAUUAAAUAUGAGAUUACAGCAUUAAAAUUAGACCCUAAUGGCAUUGUUCGGGGAAGAUGAAGGAACAUUCCUUCCUAUAUUAAUUAAUUGAUAUAUUUAAGCCACUAAAGUUUAAUUGUUGGCAUAAUAAAAUAAAUAAAUGCUUCAAGAUUUAUAAUUAAUUAUUAUUAAAUAUUAUUGAAUUUAAAUAGAAAGAGGAAGAGACAUGUAAUCUUUUAUAAUCUAAUAAUUAUUUUUUAUUUUUAAUAUUUUGUAAUGUAAUUAUUUUUUUAAUAUCAACCAAUUUAUUAGAUAAUAGAGAAUACAAGAAGAUGAGAAAUAGUACUGCCACAUCACCUCCUCUAGUCCCAACUUUAUAUAUAUAGAUUUUUAAUAUUUUGUAAUGUAAUUAUUUUUUAAUCUCAACCAAUAUAUUAGAUAAUAGAGAAUAUAAAAAGAUGAGAAAUAAUAAUGCCACAAAUCUUAACUAUUUAAUAUUUAUAGAGUUUGAAGAAGCCAAAAGGCAGUAAACAAAAGGUUGCAUAAUUAAAUAUGAGAUUACAGCAUUAAAAUUAGACCCUAAUGGCAUUGUUCGGGGAAGAUGAAGGAACAUUCCUUCCUAUAUUAAUUAAUUGAUAUAUUUAAGCCACUAAAGUUUAAUUGUUGGCAUAAUAAAAUAAAUAAAUGCUUCAAGAUUUAUAAUUAAUUAUUAUUAAAUAUUAUUGAAUUUAAAUAGAAAGAGGAAGAGACAUGUAAUCUUUUAUAAUCUAAUAAUUAUUUUUUAUUUUUAAUAUUUUGUAAUGUAAUUAUUUUUUAUAUUUUGUAAUGUAAUUAUUUUUUAAUUUCAACCAAUUUAUUAGAUAAUAGAGAAUAUGAAAUGAUGAGAAAUGGUAAUGCCUUGUAGUCCCAACUUUAUAUAUAUAUAUAUAUAUAUAGAUUAGGUGAUGUAUUUUAAGGCACUAAAUUCUCAUUCCCAAAUUUUUUUGUAGUCAGUCUAUUGACCAAGUGGACACAGUGAGCAAUAUUGUGGGUUUAAAUAUCCACACUCUUUAUAAAUCAUUUUGACUUGUCAAAAUACUUUCUAUAAUUCUAAAAUUUGUCCCAUUGAGGGAAAAUGAAAGAACCUCUCUUCCUAUGUUAAUUAAUUCAUGUAUUUUAAUCCACUAAAGUUUAAUUGCUAGCAUAAUAAAAUAAAUAAAUGUUUCAAAAGGCUUAUAAUUAAUUAUUAUUAAUGAUUACAUAUUGUUGAAUUUAAAUAGAAAGAGAAAAAAAAGUACAAAGAAUAUCCACCAAUAUUUUAGAUAUUUUAGAUAAUAGAAAAUAUAAAAAGAUGAUGAAAGAUAUAUAUUAAUAAAGUUACUAUUUAUUAAAUGUGUUAAAUACAAUCAAAUUAAUUCUAAGAAGAUGAAAAGCCAAAUCUAAAAAAAAAAUCUAUAUUUAUUAGAUAAUAGAGAAUAUACAAAGAAGCAAAAUGGCGAUGCCACAUCACCUCCUCAAGUCCUAACUUUAUAUAUAUAUAUAGAUAUAUAGAUAGAUAUAGAUUGGUUGAGAUUAAAAAAUAAUUACAUUACAAAAUAUUAAAAAUAGAAAAUAAUUAUUAGAUUACAAAAAAUUACAUGUCUCUUCCUUUUUCUAUUUAAAUUCAAUAAUAUGCAACCAUUAAUAAUAAUUAAUUAUAAGUCUUGAAACAUUCAUUUAUUUUAUUAAGCCAACAACUAAACUUUAGUGACUGAAAAUACAUCAACUAAUUAAUAUAGGAAGGAAUUUUCCUUCAUCUUCCCUCACCAAUGUCAUUAGGGCCUAAUUUUAAUGUCAUAAUUCCAUAUUUAAUUAUGCAACCUUUUGUUUAAUGUUUGUUGACUUCUUCAAACUCUAUAAACAUUAAGUAUUUAAGAUUUGUUAUGUUUGAGUUUUUUUAUUAUUUAACCAACAUCCUCCUUAGAAAUAUUCUUGUAUUUUUAUUUUUGACUUACUUGAAUUUUUAGUAUUAUGUGCUUCAUGGAGUACUAUUUUCUUCAUGAGUUAAAUAAUGAUAAAGAUAGUUGGAUAAUAAGAGUUAGGUUUUGUAGGAUGUGGGAGUCUGUUAAUACCAAGAGGAAUGAAGAAUUGAUUAGUGUGAAUAUGAUUUUUAUUGAUGAAAAUGUUGUAUAAAAAAUUUCUUCUCUCAUUAUUUUCUGUAAUUUUUCCCCAAUUGUUUUACACUUAAUGUAGCAUUUUUUUUCGUAAAAAAAUUUAAUGCAUGCAACAAUUAGGAAAAAUUUAGUGACAAUGUUUAGGUAUUAACUCAUAAAAGUGUGGAUCACAUUGAAAUGACAUUUUAUAUGAUGCACGACAUACGGAGAGGUGCAAUUUUAAUAUGCAAAUUUUAUAUAUAAAUACAGAUUUAUUACACACAUGCAAUCAUCAAGUUAAAACGCAAGCAUGAGUUUGGUUUUGAAAUAUUCAAAUAAUUUAUUUCAUUAUCGAUCCUUAAAUAACAUGCUUUGGAAUUAAUAGUUCGAUAGGAUGUUUGAUAUAUUGAAAUUUGUGAUAAUCAAUAAUCAACUAAUUUUCAUACAUAUUUAAAGAUUUUAGUAAAUUACUCAUAAAUUUGUGGCAUAUAUUGAAAUGACAAUCAAUCUUAAUAUUGACUGACAACCAAUUUUUAUAGUGAUUGACACUUAAGACAAUCAAUUUUGGUCUCCGUAAUCACUAAUGAAGAAUUGUAAGCCUGAAAUUCCACAUGUUGCAAUGUUGGACCAAUGAGGGAAAUGCUUCAUUAACAUUACCUGGAAAAUAAAUGUUGACUGAUUUUCAAAUUAGGCCAACAUACAAGUAGUCGUCAAUUCUAUUUUUUUCCAAUAGUUGAUAAAGAUGGUUAGCUAAGAAAAAAAAGUUGAUUGAGAUAAUUUAAAGAAUUUAAGCGUAAGUUUGGGUUUGAAAUUAUCAAAUAAUUUAUUUCAGUAUUGAUUUUUAAAUAAUGUGCUUUAGAAUUAAUAACUUGAUAGGAUGUUUGAUAUAUUGAAAUUUGUGAAAAUCAAUAAUCAACUAUUUUUCAUACAUGUUUAGACAUUUUAAUAAAUUACUCAUAAAUUUGUGGUGUACACCGAAAUAAUAAGUUAAUAACAUAGAAUCGAUAUCUGAAGCUCUUGAGUCCUUUUGUAUCCUUGCAUUAAUUUGAAUCAAAACUUGAAUUAAAAUCAAAGACUGAUAUUGAGAAUUUAUAAAAAUGACUUAAGAAUAUGAUUGAGUUUACAUUGAAUUAUAUAUGUCAAAUAAUAUAUUCAAGCACCGAUAUUCUCAGAAAAAAAAAAGAUAAUGAAUCUUUGUGUCAAUUGAUAUUAUUGAUUGACAAUGAAUCUUAAUAGAGGAUGAGUGGCGCGUAAUAGAGGGUUCAUCGCUUGCGGAAUUUUCGCGGCAAUUCAAGAAUCAGGAUGGUUGUUGUAGAAUUCCACAAGAAUUGGCCCGGUCUACACAGCACGUGUAUAUGUAUACAUUUGUUAUUCACUAGAAUAUUGGUGGUUUAUUUUUUAUUUAAAAAAAUUCUAGAAUCAUGUUAAAUUUUAAAUAUUAAAACAAUCUUGCGGGUUUGGGCAUGAACAUCUCGCCGCUUUUGUUACAACUAGACACAAUUGGGCAUGGUAUUUGGGCAGGCCCAAAGUUAACAAAAAUUUGGGUUUAUGUUUUUCGCAUUGGGCCCAAUCAGAACACUGGGCUCUGUUUGGCCUUGUCGUAGUAAAACGCACUAUUCAAUGGAGAAGCAGCAAAUGGUGCCGGUCCGGAGAAUUUCGACAUUGAUACAUUCUCCUCCACAGACUGCAAGCUCGGAUGAGGAAAUUCUUGAUCGAACAUUAAUGAUGUAAUAAAGAUCUCUUUAGUAUUUCUCACUUUUACAACUUAAAAAAAAUUAUUUAUUAUAUCAUUAUUGUAGUAGUAAUAAUAAUAGUAAUAAUUUAUAAACUGCAUUAAUCAUCACAAGCCUUUUGGUGAAACUACAUAAAGUAAUGAUAUGAAUAAAAGUUUGGAGUUGGAACCAACAAAAGCCAAGGGAAAGAUGUGUAUAGACUAAUUUUAAUCAAAUCACAUUUGUGAACUAAUUUUAGCAGAAAAGCACAUCACGCGUAUGGCCUAGUGAAUGCAUGAUUGUAAUAGAUCCACAUUCUGCGCCAGUAUGAGUUUAUCCAAAGUAUCGCGAAAAACCCCAUGAUGAAUGUGACAUAUGAUGAACCGAAACUCCAACUGAAUGACACCAUAUCAAUUGCACAUUCAUCUUCAUCUUCUCCUCGAUUGGAUUCUAUUGCUGGUAUUUCCUCCGCAUUGUUGCAACUCUUAUUAACUGUUGGACCACAAAGAUGCAGAUUUCCUCCAUAACUGCCUUCAUUGAAUGUGGCAAACUGCUCUUUGUCUGGUAUCAAGUUGGACAAAUUGUUGUAUGACACCUUGAAGACAGAAAAAAAAUUGAGCUCAGUCGAUAAAGGAGGAAUUCUACCACUUAAUCUGUUGUAAGAAAAGUCUAGGCUAUAUACCACUUUUAAUUUGGAAUACCUUUUUGGUUUAUAAACCGACAAGCAAUUAUGAGACAAAUUCAAUAAAUGAAUUUCUUGAAGUUGUCGUCCGAUUUCCAAUGAGAUUUCUUCUGUCAAAUACUUGCAUGACAAAUCUAGUUUGUAUAUAAUAUAAAAGAUGUGAAAGUUGAAUGAGAAUGGAGUAUAAGUAGUAGCGGGCCCACGAAGUGAUGAACUGCCCCUACUAGGUCUAAAAGUUUCUGAUAACAUAUUUUAUUUAGGUGGUGGAAAUUAUAAAUUUGUCCUGUUGGAUUAAUUGAAUACAUAGAUUUAAGUUCAAAUUUUAUUUUAAAAUCACAUAUAAAUCUCAUUCAUUUGCAAUUUAUUAGUCCAGUUGUUUAAUUAGAUGUCCAAAAUCCAAUUGAAUCUAUUAAAAUAAGGUCGGUGGUCUAAUUUGAAAUUUAAUCUGAUUUAGUCCAAAUGUACAACUUAACAUUAGAAAUAUGAAAAUUAAAUCUAUUAUUAAGAAGAAAAAUAAAAAUAUCUACAACCAUAAAAAUAUCCUCUUAAAACUGUAUUUUCUGAAGACACGUAAGUAGAUGUACUAAUAAAAUUAUAAAAGUAAUAAAGUAAGAGCGUGAACUUUUUUCUUUGGUUAUUUAUAAAUUUUACUCUAUUAAUAUGAUUUUCUAGCUAAACCAAUGAGUCUACAAUAUUGGAUUUCAAUAAACAUAAAAAGAUUCGUAAUUAAGGUCGAGAAUUCUGAGUGCUUUAAAUCAUGUGGAGAAAAUUGUGAAUUUUAGCCAAAACAUAGGACCUGUCUAUGGUACAGAUUCUGUAACAAACAUCUCCCGUCAUCCCACCAUCCGAUUUUCUAUUGUUCAGUUUCUCACUCCACAUCCAACCACAUCCAACGGCUGAUGCUGCAGUCUGUACCUUACAGAAUCUGUAAGCUAGUCGAGUCCCAAAACAUAUUCGUCAAUUGAGAAAAUGGUGGGCCAGUGUUUACUUCAAAGUAAAUGUCAUACCAUUACUGGAUAAUAUUUAUUUAUUUAUUUGAGGUUGAAAAAGUUUUUAUGAGAUGUGGGUUGGAAGUUGAAAUAAACAUUUCUUUAUCAUAUUUACUAGGAUCUGUUAUAUUUGAAAGUGAACAAAAGUCACAAAACGAAUGAAAAAGUGUACAGGGAUAAAACAAAUAGAUUUUUCUACGCCUCUGCGGCGUAAAAUAGUUACUCUUUAAGAGUUCAAGUCAUCAAGUGCGUGUAUGCAGUAGAUUAUUAGAUUUGUAGCGGGACUGCAAAUUAGCAAUUAUUUAUCCCUCCCCAAUCGGCACACCCACCGCACACCCCCUCCCCGGCGGCGCGGCGCGAGUUCGCUGCCAUUCCAUAAUCGUUUAAUAAUCUGUAAGUAUUAGGCCAGUAUUUGAAAAUCAGUAGGAACAAUUUUCUAUGAAAAUUAAGACAACUUGCAAGGAAAAUGUGAUAUGUAAUGGUCACCAUAGCUAUUUUUAUUAGGCCAUCAAACAUGAGCUGAAAGUUUAUUGGAUGGAUUUGGCCAUCGCCUAGGCGACGAAGGCUGAUUGCGAUGAGCCUAGUAAUUUCGCUUGUCGCCAAAAGCAAUGUACGUCGUUGCCCGGGUGAUGGCACCCAUCGCCUAUAAUCUGGGCAAGGCUUGUGUCUUUGCACUGCGAAAGGUUUAAAGACAAUAACAAAGCCACUACCAUUCAAACGUCAUUAAAGUGAGUUCUUUAGCAUUAAAGAUCAUUUAAAAGCGUUUGAUACUUUAUAAUUUAUUUUGUUUGGUAUAUAAGUUUAGGUAAUAAUGCACACAAGGAUGAGCACAUAUAAUGAGUUGGGGUGGGGGGACAUUCGACAAAUGCCAAGUGAGUGUUGUGGGACCAUCGCACUAAAUAGUGUAACUUACAAAAGGACUAGUCAAGGGCAUUUGUAUCUAAAAUAAUUUUUUUUUAAAAAAAUUAUUACUGCACUAUCUCUUUUUUAUCUUAUAUUUAUCUAACUAUUAAAAAAAUUUAACAUGUUCUCUGCACCUUUUUUUUUUUAAAUUUGUAUCAACUAGCCACCUUUUAACUAACAACGUUAAAUAAUUUAAAUGAAAUGAUAAUUUUACCCCUAAAUAAAUUAAAAGACCAUUUUAUUUUACAAAAACUUUGAAAAAUAAGAAAAUUAUAAUUAUAAAAAUACCCCUAAAUUUAAUAAAAAAUAAAUCACAAACAAAGGUGCUCAACUGAUUUUUAUUUAAUUUAGAUUUUACAAAAUUUUAAUAAUUAUUUUUAUUAAAAAAUUAUAAUUUUGCAAAAUUUUAAUAAAAUCAAUGAAAAAUUCUAAUUUUGGGAUUUAUUUUUUAUUAAACUUAGGGGUAUUUUUAUCAUUAUAAUUUUCUUAUUUUACAAAGUUUUUGUAAAAUAAAAUGGUCUUUUAAUUAUUUAGGGGUAAAAUUGUCAUUUUAUUUAAAUUAUUUAACGGUGUUAGUUAAAAAGUGGCUAGUUGAUACAAAUUAAAAAAAAAAAUGGUGUAGAGAACAUAUUAAAUUUUUGUAGUGGUUAGAUGAACAUAAGAUAAAAAAGAGAUGGUGCAGUGAUAAUUUUUUUAUUUUCUUUACUAUAAAUAUAAAAAUAAAAGAAAUGAAAAACUGUCUAAAAUUGAAGAUAUAAUGACUAUCGCACACUUGUCACGUGUAUGUGUUCGAUCAAUCAAGAUGGCCGGCCCCAUGAAUUAACUUACAUCUUUUACAGUUUCAAUUCCCUCCAUCACGGCAUUUUACCGUUUCUUUAAUUUUCAAGCUGUUUUUGAUGGGUUCAUCAAAGAAGUGGGCAGCCAUUAUAUCUUCAAUUUCUGCUUCUUUAUAUUUUUGUCUCGUUGUCUCCCAAAUCCCUCUUUUCAGGUAAUUCUUUCUGUUUCUUCCAUAGCUAUUUUCUCAUUUUGUAUAAUAAUGGUGAUUAUUUCUCAUUAUAAGUGAAAUCUUCCCUGAAUUUGUAGCCAAGGUUCUUCUAUAUCCUUGAGCCUUUGCAAAUGCUAUAAUGAAAGGCAAAAACAUUCCAAACUACAGCAAAUUGCUGCGGUUCUAUAACUUCACCAAUCUUACGAAUUCCUAGAAAACUGAUUUCCUCCGCCUAGAGGUUGUCGUAAUAUUUUUUUUUCUUUUUUUGAAAUCCUCAUAUUCAUCAUAAUUCCUGCAAGAACAUUGGGAGCCUUAUGCCUAAUUAUAAUCCUUUGUUUUUUUUGGGAACACCAGGUUCUUGCAGGAAGCUAGGGGGCCUUCUAAGAGAAGCAAUCAUGUUCAGGUUUUCUUGUGACAAAGAUUCGAGAAAAGAUGUUUAUAUCUACCCAAAUAUGCCAAUUUUUGUGCUUUGUGCUUUCUUGUCUAUUAGAAAACAUUUAAGGAAAAUUAUUCAUUGCUGCAAAGCCAAGCAUAUAAAAAAUUAUCUCUGAUUAAAAGUAAAAGAUGUAUGAGUUGAAGCUGAUAAAUAAAUGUGAUUUCUAGGUGAAGUACAGUUGGGGUACAUAGAAGGAAUGAUGUAGUAGUACAAGCUGAGAUUUUAGAAUGGCUUCGAAUUUAAUGGGAGUUGACCAGUAGAAUAUUUGCGUUUCUGUAGCUUGUAACUGCUUUUUGCCUUCUUUUUCUGUAGGAUCUUGUUGCCUCUGCUGUUUAAAAGACAAUUUAUGAUUUUAAUCCUGUUUCAAUACUGAAAAUUUGUUGUAAAUAUAGAAAUCCCAUUGAAAAUUUUAUUAGAGCAUCAAUUUCAGUACGGGAAAUUAUUUUUGACAACAUCAAAUAUCAAGGAUGUGAUCUUCAAUCUAUAUUUUGCUACUUUAUUUCAUUUGAAGUUUUAAUUUUAUUUAGGGUCCUAAGCAAAUUAUAAUGUAGAUUUUAAAACAUCCCACGUUGCUUCUAUGUUACUUCAUGCCCCUAAAGUGUAGAUGGUGUUACCAUAUUAUCAUGUUUGUCACUCAAUUUUUCAUGAUUUAAGCUUGAGGAGAAGAAUGUUGAUGAUAAGGGAUAAGAAUGCGUGAAAUGUCAGCUACUUCACACAAUGAUUUUGUGGUUUAGAAUCUAAUGGUGGGCAAGCCACAGUAAUGUGCACAUUGCAUUCUCUUAUGGAAUUCGGACAAGCUGGCAAAACAUUCAGCAUCAAUAUGAACAUUAUAACAUGAUCUCAUAGCCCCAUACAGCUGACAGAGAGAGAAUGAUGAGUGAUAAAGUUUGAAAUUUGCUAGUUUUGGUGGAUUUUGGUCGUUGAAGGAACUGAGAGAGAAUGUUCAAUAGAAAGUCUUUUUGAUGCUAUCAUUCACGCUGAUAUUAUGAUAAAUCUUUAUCAUGUCCAUUGAAAGUUAUCAUUUCAAGUGGUGGUUAUUAGUUGAAAGAAGCUGUUAUUGAAUUUGAAGACAGAGUCUGUUUCAUGUGCAUUGAAAUUUAGAUAUUUAUGCAGGUUUGUUAGCUUAAAUUGGUUGGUUUUUGGUGAUGGGGAUAUUUGAUAGAAGUUUGACAGUAUCUGUAGGCAGUACACUGGGUUCUCUUAGUUGUUGUAGAAGUCUUCAAAAGACCAGAUUGAAUUUAAUCCAGUUCUGGCUAUUCAUCUCAUCUUCAUUUCUUUUACAGACUGAUGAAAGCGGGAAAUUCUUGGUUGGCUCCAAUCCUGUGUUAAGUAAGGAUUUAUUGUCACACGAGAGGAACUCUCUUCCUUCUCUUAAUGGUAGAAGUGAUCUGUUAAAGUUGGAGCACGCCCUGAUUGCGGAGAACCUGUGGAGUUUUUUAGAGAAAUUAGGAGCUUGCUACAGCGUAAUUCCUUGUCAUAUCUAUCGUAUUUGGCAUGAUGAGGUUUCUUGUUUUGUUCCUUUCCUGCAUGUGAGUGAGUAUGUGCGAUGGGGCUAAAGCAAGCUAAGUCAAAGCCACUUGAAGUUAGGAGUCCUUUGGGGAUUCACGUGCUCAUGACAAAUGGCAUUCUAACUGCAGGGUUUAGCAAGAGAGACCGCAGAGUGUGGUAAUUUCCUCAUGUGACUCAUUUUGUAUUUAUUUCACAUUUCUUGCUUUAUAUGAUCUGGUUAUGGUGUCAUCUGGAGUAUGUUGUCAGCAGAUGCUCAGGAAGUAUUUAGGUUUUUAUGUUAGUAAUUUCCUUCAAAUAGAACUGAAUUUUACGACAGAACCAAGAAAAGUAAAACAGAGCAGACAUGGUGUAGUAUUUUGUUGUUAUUAUUUAAGCCUGAGGAAUAGUGCCUAACAGACUGAAGUUUUUGUCUUCUAAUCUUUGAACUUUAUGGUAACAUUACAAGUUUUGUCUAGUUAGUUCAAAUCUUCAAGAAGUGAAUGUAAAGCUUACUUGAUUGAGCAAAUGGUAAAGGGAUGAUGAACUUUUGCCCUAUCGAACUUGUCAUUUUCUUUUUCUUCAAUACUAGUGUUUUUUUCUUCAUUAUUUUUCUUCACAUACCAAAAAGGAGUGAAAAUUUGAAAGUCUACUCGUAAUGCUUUUGAGGCUUACACUCUGUCUUGAUAGGAAAAAGAAAAUGGCAACAUUACAAAUUUACAAUGUCUGAUAUGAAAGACAAGAAAGCAUGUUACACACAAUUAGAUACAUAAAUUGAAAAGAAAAAAAAAGCUCCUACCAUAAAUCUAUGAAAACUCUAUUUCUAUAGGAUCGAAACAGGUAGAGAAAACUCUUUGCGUGACUCGAUCCUCCCAUUGUAGCUCGUUCCACCAGUCUUUCUUUCCCUUGACAACAAUUUUAUGUCCCAUUGCUCUACUGGAAUUGAGUGGGAGCUUCUUCAGCUUUGGGCAUCCAGUUACUUCAAUUUCCUUCAGCUGUGGAAAAGGCAAGGGAUCCCAAUAGAUGCUCUUCAAAUUUACAAGACCUUUUAGGUAUAGAAAUUCGAGUUAUGGUAGAAAGUUCUGCUUUUUCAUUAUCUCUAAAACUUCAUUCAACUUUUCAGGACUGAUUAUUUCUUCCAUAUUACCGCAAUUCUGUACAUUAAUAUUCUUAGAGGUUUGGAGAAAAACAAGCCAUGUCAAUUCCUUCAAUCUUAAACAAUCAGAUAUGAUAACUGUAUUUUGUAUCUCUCCUGCAUUUUCAAUCUUCAAUUCUUCAAAAGCACAGUUCUAAGUAAGAAAGUUUUUGGGAUGCUAGAGGUAAAACAAUGACUGACUUUGGAGUAUGAAUUUUUGUAAGCUCUAGAGAUCCUGUACCACUCAGCAACUUUUGGAAUGUGAAAAAAAUUUUCAAGAGCGGGCCAACUAUCCAAGGUAAGUCAGCAGAUUCAAUUUUUCCAAACAGAUCCCUUCCUAAAAGGUUCAACAUAUUCAAAUAAAGCUCUACUUUCUUCUUCUCUACUACAAUUUAUGCAAUCCAGCAUUCUGAGUGACUGCAACUUUGGAAAGUUACACAGCAGUUGCAGAAGUUUUUUAGGUACACAUAUUCCAAGUUCAAAUACCUAAGAUUUACCAAAGCCUUCAUCUCUUCUGGCAAGUCCCCUAUGACAGUAAAAGACAUCCCAAGAUGUUAUAGUGAAAGCAUAAAUUGGUUAAGAGUAUAUUGAAUUCUAGAUUCAAAAUUUUAAGGGAAGGCAUAAAUUGAAAGAAGCCAUCAGUGAUCAUACUUAUUCUAUUUCUGUAAUGAAGCAAAUUUGCAACGAACGCCAUUCUAACUAAAGGGUUUACCCGGAGAAACAGCAGCUUGAGGUAAUUUCCUUCUGUGUGACUUGUAUGACACUUGUUUCACAUUGUCCUGUUCAUGGUGUGAUCUAGUAGAAUAUGUUAUUGGCAUGCGCUUGUGUUCAUAUUAUGAUACUAAUAAAUUACUUGUAAGAAGUACUGAAUUUAUAACUAUAGAAUCCAGAGAAAUAAAAUAGAUAAGUUACAAAACACACGGUGCACUAUCUUAAUAGUAUUAUUUGAAUGAUUCUAAAAUGUUCACAUAGGAAUCAUGACCUUACCUUUGCAAAUUGGAUGCCUGGUUGAUUGAUUCAGAGUACAGCACCAAGCUGACAUCUAUAAGAUCAUUUAAUCAAGGGUAUUUCUCUACCUGCUAUUGUAGUGUUUAUGUCCUUUUUUAAGUCUGUUAAUGAAAUGUGUACGGAAAAGAAUUGUGUUGGCAGAGGCCGAAAUAAACAAUGAAGAAAAAGGAACAAUAAAAAGAAAUGAAAACGUGGUAUCUCACAAGGUGUUAUGCCACGUUAAUGUGCAGCUUCUGAAGACUUAUGCCCUGAACCGUUUGGCUUAUAGAGUAAUAUAAACUUAUUUAACUUCCUCUGGCUCAAGUGUUAAUUCAAUGCUCAAGAGAGCGGUGAACAUAAGCCUUGAUAGUAGAGCACACUUGAUUGAGCAAAGAGAGCUUUGAGAGAAGAUGAAAUUUUACUCUAUUCAACUUGAUGUUGUCUCUAUUCAUCUUGUAUAUUAGUUGUUCUUUAAUAUCUUUCUUCACAUAAGAUAGGUAGUAGAAGCAUCUGAACUUAAGCAUUAUUCGUAUAGCAUGUUAGCAUGGGUUACCAUCAAACAAACCUUUUUUUUUCCUUCUUUCUUUUUCUGGAGGUGUAGAUGAUGAUUUGUUACCUCCCCUUUUAUAUUCAGGGUUUUGAAGUUGUGCUACCAGAUAAAAGCAACAAUGGAACACACAUUAAUUCCUGAUUCAGGGUUUUGAAGUUGUGCUAGUUUUGAAGUUGUGCUACCAGAUAAAAGCAACAAUGGAACACACAUUAAUUCCUGCAGUUGAUGCUUUGAACAGAAAGGACGUGGAAGGGGCGACAAACUUGUUAAGAAGAGCACUACAGGUACUACUAGCGAGGGCAGUGAACAUUGUUAUCCUGGCCUCAAAUGAUAUUCUUGAUCUUUUGCCUCCGGAUGAUCCUCUUUUUAAUAAAUGCAUCGAUCCAAUGGAUGCUUUGGUCUGCAGUCAAAUGGGUGAAAUCUGCUGAAAAAGCUAAAUAGAGAUUGAAGAAUAUUUUAAUUUUUUACUUGCAUUUUGCUAAAACUACUUUCGAAAGUGAGAUACAGAGCCUUUGGGCUGAGAAAAUCAAGUCACGAUUUGCUAUUUAGGCCGAAUCCGAUGGACCUUUUUUUAUCAGUAGCACAAAUUUUUUUAGUACCAAUAUUACAUAAAUCUCACUAUUUCGAGAUAAUCAAUCUCCGAAAUAGGUUGUAACUUUUUGAAGAAAGAAGUCAUAUUCAGUUAAGUAAUUUGAAAGCCUUAUUACUAGCAAUGCAAUUCUUGGAACAAAGAAAUUUUUUAGCUGAAAAUAAUAAACAAUAUCUAUGAUUUACUAUUUAUCUCAUAUUAUUUUUAUAAAGACCAAUAAUUUUUAACAGUAUAAUUUAUAAUAUUACUUUUAUUUACAAAUAUAUUUUUAUUAUAAAUUAAAUAAAUCAUAUGAAUGAUUAUUUGAAUAAAAAAUUAAAUAUUAAAAGAAAAAAAUAUAUUUUAAUAUGAAUAAAAAAUUAAUAAUAAAAUAUUUUUCUUGCACUUUUUAUUUUAUAAUAUUUUCUUAUAAUGAAUAUAUAAAAUAAAAAAUAUUUAUUUUUUAUUCACAUCAAAAUAUAUAUUUUUUAUUUUAAUAUUUUAUUUUUAUUUCUAUUCAUAUAUUUAUUUAAUUUAUAAUAAAUAUAAAUAAAAAUAUAUUUUAAAAUAAAAAUAAUAUUAAAAUAUUAUGCUACCAAACAAUUAUUGGCUGUAAUAAAAAUAAUAAGAAAGUAAAUAGAACAUAUUAAUCAUGGGAAAAUUGACAAUCUCCCUUACCAGCAAAGCAUUUCUAAGAACAAAAAAAUUUUAUUAACUGGAAAUAGGAAACAGCAGUACAGAAGAAUGACAAGUGACACACAUGCAACUCCGUAGAAAGCUUUUAAAUUAAAUGAAAUGGAUAGACAAGAUAAUCAUUAAGCACACGCAGCAAUUUUAUUCACACUUUUGCGCCUUAUUGCACUUUAUUAUUCAUGAAGGCACGAAACAGGGAGAGAAAGCAUUUUGAGUGGCUUGAUCCUCCCAUUGUAGCUCUUCCCACCAUUCUUUCUUUCCCCAAAUGACAAUUUUAAGUCCCUUUGCGCUGCUGGAAUUGAGCGGGAGCUUCUUCAACUUUGGGCAUUUCGAUAUGCGAAUUUCCUCCAGCUGUGGAAAGGGCAAGGGAUCGCGGUAGAUGCGCUUCAAAUUACUUGCAUUUCCUAGACUCAGAAAUUCGAGUUCUGAGAACAAGUUAAGCUCUCCCAUCAUCUCUGAAACUUCACUCAAUUUUUCAACACUGAUUAUUUCUUCCAUGUCACCACAAUGAUGUAUUCGCAGCCACUUGAGAUUUGGAACAAAAACAAGCCACGUCAAGUCCUUCACAUUUGAGCUUCUCAAGAUGGAAAGUUUACGCAUUUUUUGUACCUCUCCCGCGCAGUCGACAUUCCAGUCUUCCAAAUUACUGUCCCAAAUGCUUAACUCCUCAAGAUGCUCCAUGUUUGCUAGAUGCAACAAAUUGAGCGGUAGACUGUUGCAGUGUUCGAUGUGCAGUGCUUGAGUGAUAUUCUGCAGCUUUGGGAAUUUCAGAAAGUUUUCAACACCACGCGAACCAUGUAAGGACAAGGUGAUGAGAUUUAAUUGUUCCAAACAGUGGAUUUCCUUCAUCAAUGAUUCAGCAUCAUCGGAUAGAACGUUGCCUUCUUCCACUAUUGGCCGGUGGUUUGAACCGCAACGCAGCAUCCUGAGUACCUGUAACUUCGAAAAGCUUGAU
rnacentral:lncRNA from 1 species